AAGUUGAUAAAUACUCUGGGGAAAAUGUCAUUUGAAGUCUUCUUUAAAAUUUCACAUCCAGAUCCAAGCAUUAAUGAUAAAUUAAAGAUAGUAAAAUAUCAUCAACUAUUGAUUAAUCUUGAAAAUAUUUACUGGACUGUUUUUUUGGAUGGCAUGGCUAUUUUAAAUUAUUGGUUCAUAGACAAAAGCCCUCUAUUGCAUUUGUUUAUGAAAAUGCUUGAAGUAUAUUCUGCACAUUUUGAAGUAUCUUCUUACUAGCCACCUGGUGUUUGAGAAACACCCUCUAUAUGCUAAUCCUCAUCAGAGAAGUCUGUGAAGGUUUAAUUACUUAAAAUUUUUGUUAAUAAAUUUUGGUCUUAGCCUCCAAGCUGGUUUCUCCAUAUGUUGUUCUAAUGGUGCUUCUUCCAUGUCCAAAAGGAGUUCCUGAGAUUGGCAAAAUCUCCUAAUUAAUUGAAAAGGAUCUAAAAGAAUAGUUGGAAAUAUGUUUUCGAUUGCUGUUGUGUACAAAUGUUAUCUUCAGAAGCUUAGGAAAAUGGAUGUGAUUUCAAAUUUGCACAAACGUAAAAGGUGUAAGGCCCUCUGAGGAUGUUUUGCCAAAUGUAUGCAUGAGCUUUAAUGUAGGUGGGUCAAACAACUUACAGAUGGAUGACUUUGGUCAAUCCAUGCUAAUUGGACAAGAAUAAGAAAUGGAUCAAGAAGAUCAUCUUGCCAAUCGGGGUUAUUUGUAUUUUUAUUACUUCUUUCAACUUACUUUUUGCAUAAACCUUAGUAUCAUUGAGCAUAUUUUCAUUUUACUUGAGAAACAGUAUACUCUCAGACCUUUCUAUAGCAGAAUGUCUUUGAAAUGCUUUAUUAUCUUGAAUUUCGAAUAGCAGGAUGACUGACACUUACCAGUCAAAUGGAUAUCUUUUUUUUUCCUUUCCUUCUUAAGUCACCAAGGGCUUUCCCCAAGGUUAUCAUAAGCACUGAAAGAGCUUUAUUUAGAACAUAAAGUGUGUGAACUUCUAAUUGCUUCCUUAGCUUCUAAGCCAGGCAUUCUCCCUUAAAACCCAUGGCUGUUCAGUUAAGUUGUAAAGAAAGGAAAAAAACAGACCCUUGGAAGUGUCUUUUUUUUUUAAUUACCAUAACAUCUUUUCUUUCAAGUUGAGAACUAGGAAAUAUCUAAUGAAAUGAAAAAUAAAGGCACUAGGUAGUAGUACAAUUUGUCUCCUCUUUUCUAUAUUUCUCUCAAUAUAUGUAGGAAGAUGGAGUGGUCUCAUAGAUCAGUUAUCUAAACCUGUUCAAGUACAUCAAAACUAACCAAACUUUUUUUUUUGACCCAAACUUAACUCAAAAUGUGUAAUUUUUUUUUUUUUAAGAUUUUAUUUAUUUAUUUGACAAAGAGAGAGAGUUAGUGAGAGCAGGAACACAAGUGGGGGAGUGGGAGAGGGAGAAGCAGGCUUCCCGCCGAGCAGGGAGCCCGAUGCGGGGCUCGAUCUCAGGACCCUGGGAUCAUGACCUGAGCCGAAGGCAGAUGCUUAACGACUGAGCCACCCAGGCGCCCCUCAAAAUGUGUAAAUUUUAAAAACAAGUGUGUCCCAGAGAUAAUCCAUCAAGUCCAUUAUUCGAAGACUUCACAGUUUAUCUUUUUCCUUUUUUUUUUUUUUUUUAAAGAUUUUAUUUAUUUGACAGAGAGAGAGGGAACACAAGCGAGGGGAGCAGGAGAGGGAGAAGCAGGCUUCCCGCGGAGCAGGGAGCCCAAUGCGGGGCUUGAUCCCAGGACCCUGGGAUCAUGACCUGGGCCAAAGGCAGACGCUUAACGACUGAGCCACCCAGGCGCCCCCACAGUUUAUCUUUUAUAGAGGAAAUUAAGUAGUAUAAAUUUUUAAAACCAAACUUCAGUACUAAGUGGGACAGUAACUGCUAUGUAUAGAGUGACUAGAAGUUAUGAUGGGCUUUUUAAAAUACUCCAUGUCUAAUGCUGUCAAACUCAAACAGAUUCUUGCAGGAUAAGACUUACCUUAAUUUAUAACGUAUGUAGAAUAUAGCAUGAUAAGAUAAGCUAUUGAUCUGAGAGUUCUAUGGUAUUUUGUUCUUUCUAGGAAAUAAUCAGACAGGCAGAAUAUCACUUAAUUUGUUUUAAAGAGAUCUAUCAACAGGGAGAACAAAUAAUGAAAUUCCAUAAUUUCUAAAUUAAUACAAAAAAUUCCUACAGUGAACUAUAUUUUAGGCAUAGUAUCAGAAAAAAUACCUUCGACAAAAACAGUUGUUAAAAUGUAUAAAUUUUAAUCAUUAAUACAUAGUCAUUUUCUUAAGAGAUGUAACAGUAUAUUUGUUUCAGAUGCCUUUCCCGAAUUUAUUUAAAGUUUCUCAUUGAUUUUAUGAUGACUUUUCUCUGUAUCACAAUGAAUAAGUAACUACAUUUCUUGCAAAAUUAUUUAGUCUUGACAUUAAAAUAUAGAACUUUGUACAGGGUUGACACAUAUAUGAAUAUAUAUUAAUUAAAAUAUGUAUGAUAUAUACUUUCUUUCUUUUAUUUCAAAAUUUCUAUCACUAUUUUUCAGCCAAAACUUAUGAGUUGGAAAAUGAUUCUGAGGAAAUUCAAAUAAUAUCAGGUUACAUCACACAGAAGUCAUUUGCAUCUUUAUAUUCUCUCAUAAUUACCUUGCCUCCUGACUCUCUUGUCUUGAAUUCUUUUCCUUCACUAUUACUUGGUCUUCUGCCAGUCUCUUUCUGGAUGGGACUUCAGAAGAAUCCCCUCAGUCUUGUCUUACAGUCCAAUUAACAAUCAAAGUCAAUUUAAAAAUGUGUGAAACAAGAGAUCUCUUUUCCCAUCCAAGUUUUAUCCCUCCUUCUUGUGGUAGAAUGAUGGAGUGAUAACAUUGGGAAACAAUGAUUUACAGAUUUGCCUUCCCUAUUGAUCUCUAGUGCAAGGUCAACCAGAUGGUCAUGUGUCCUAUGGGAGAAUGCACUUCAGAUGUUAUUAAUUAGUUACAUUUGUACAAGCUAAAUCUUGCAGGUUAAAGAACUGUGAUUCCUAUUAGAUACUACAUUUUGUAAUUGUUACCAUUCUAAUUUUAUGCCAAAUAGCUUUUCAAAUAAAUAUAAAGUUCAUGCAAAGACUUUUUGAUUUAGUUGAAUUUUUACUGAAAAAAAAAAAUCCAGUAGUUUGACAGAUUCACAUAUCAUAGCAUUUUUGUCAUUGUAUUUUUUUCCUCAGAACAUCUUUGGAAUCUAUAAGGGUCAUAAGGAAAGUCAAGGCUACUUAUGUACGAUAGACAAAUUUGUUUUGCUUGUUCAUAUACAAGGGAAACCAUUGUUGAAAUGAUUUUGCCUUUAUCCAGUAGGGAUUUUAGAAUGUAGUAUUUUACAAAGCCGGAAUAAAUACUGUAUAAUUUGAUAAAAGGUUUCAGUUGCAUGUCAUUUUACAAAAAGUUUUUGAGCUUGAGAAAAAUGGAAAUAUUGUCUAUAUUUUAGAAGAUAUAAAAUGUGAUUCUGAGUUAAAUGUGUUAAGUAUUGUUUCUGUUUUAAAAUGAGGUAUAUUCUUAUAAUAAGAUUACUUUUUCACUUAGUAAUUCAGAUUGUUAAUCUAAGAUAUUCAAUUUAUUGACAUGAGGUUGUCUAUAAUACUACCUUACUAUCCUCACUAUGUCUGUAGGAUCUGUAGUAAUGUUCUUUACUUCAUUUAUGAAAUUGAAAAUUUGUGUCUACUUCCUUUAUGUUCCAUGCAGAGAUCAGUUUUUUCCUUUUUAUUGAUCUGUUAAAAUAAUCAGCUUUUGGUUUUGUUUUUAUUAUUAUUAUUCUGUUUAAUAUUUCUUUGGUAUAUGCUCUAAAAUGAAAUUGUCUUAUUUCUUCUUGCUUUGUGUUUAAUUUGCUCUUCUUUUUGGAAAUUCUUAACAUGGAAACAUAGGUCACUGAUUUGAGAACUUUUUUUCUAAUAUAACCAGUUAUGCUACAAAUUUCCCUUGAAACGGUGUGUAGCAGUGCUCCACAUAUUUUGAUAAAAUGUGUUCUGAUUUUCAGUCAGUUCAAAAUGUCUUCUAAUUGCUCCCCUUAUUUUUUCUUUUAAUCACAAGUUAUUUAGAAAUAUGUUGUAUAAUUUGAAGAUAUUUGUGUAUCUUUUAUUUAUCUUUCUGUUGUAGGUCUUUGUUUCAGUCUCUUGUUGUCAAAGAACAUACAUAAUAUGCUUCAGGUUCUCUAAAAACUAUUAAAACUCAUUUUAUGGCACUGACUAUAGCCUAUAUAGAAAAUAAUGUAUAUUCUGCUUUUGUCACAUGGAAUGUUUUAUUAAUGCCAGUUAGAUUCAAUCAGUUGAUGGUUUGCAAUGUUUUCUAUAUUCUUACUGAUUUUCUCUCUAGUUGUUCUUUCAAUUACUGACAGAAGAAAUUGAACUCCCCAUCUAUAAUUAUGGAUUUGCCUAUUUCUCUUUUCAAAGAGGUCUAUCAAGUUUUACUUCAUGUUUUUGAAUUUCUGUUAUUAGAUACUGGCAUAUCUCUGAUUAUUCCUGGUAAUAAUUAGAGUUCUAAAAUAUAUUUUUGUCUUUAUGUAACAUUUCUGUCUUUCUGUAUAAUGAAAAAUACCAACAAAAUUUUAGUUAUAAUUAAGUGGGAAAAAUGUUUGUCAUGAUUCUAAUGGCCUCUGGAAAGUUUUUAUUAAAAUAUUAGGAAAUAUGUUUAAACAUAUAUUUUUGAUGUUUGUGAAAGUAUGAACAUUUGAUUGGCAGUGUAGUGUUAUGAGAACAGCAUUUACAUGGAUUAUCAGGAUUUUCAAACUUUGGUCCCUCACUAAUUAACCCUGAAACUUCGUUAGGGCCUCAGUUCUCCCAACCAGUUAAAAAAUUUGGAGGCUAACUUAAUUCUAAGACCUCUUACUAAUUAAAUUUGAUGUUUAAGCUUAGUUUUGCUUUAUAAUAUCAUCUCCUUUGAGAAAGUCUUCUACAAUAACUCCUUUCAGUGCUUUCAAAAACAUUUUAUGAGAAGGACCUGGGCAAGGGAAAGAACAAAACUAAACAAACAAUUUUUAAAAAUUCAUGGAUUUUGAAGUCCUACAGAGGUGGUUUUAAAUCAUAGUUGCCUGCUACUUUCUGGGGAUGCUACAUUGGGGUAGUUACCUAAUCUUCCUAAUCCAGAAUUUUAUCAUCUGUAAAAUGGGAAUAACACAUAGAACUUUUUGAAAAUGAAAUGAAUUAAGUUUGUAAAAUGUGUUGUGUAGUAUAUAGUGUGUAUCUUAUGAAAAUGCACAAAGACUUGUAUUAGAGUUAGUAUUUAUAAAUUCCUUUAGGGUAAAAUUAUGGUCUUCUUUUGUACCGUAAUUACUUCCACUCCACUUAGUGUAGAGACUGCCAUUUGUUAUUGUUCAAUAAAUGUUGAAUUAAUAUACAUUUUGAUACUUCUUAACCACUAUAACUCCCCAACUGAUAGAGCCUCAGUACACUACAACAGUGCUUCAGUGAAUCUUGUUAAUUUAAAACAAUGAGAGUUACUAGGUAGAAUGCGAAAUUUCUUCAUCAUAGCAUUAAGAUACAAAUACCAUGAGAGAAGAAUUUUUGUUAAUUUUUGCACAGAUAGUUUUAUACUCAUAUCCUGGUACAUAGCUGAUGGUCAAAUGUUUUCUAUCUACUUCCAAACUUGUCCCACAUUAUACACUAGAGAUUCAAAGUAGUCUGGGAAUUCAACUUUUAUAUUUACUCUUUCCAGUUAAUUCUCAAAUCUCUUUAUCUGUUUUCUUCCCUAAAAGACAUUUCAUCUCUAUAAAUUUUAGAUGUUUUCUUCCAGAGAGUUUUUUGUGUGUUUUGAUUGGAAGCCUAGUUUUCUAUAUUAAAGGGAAGAGACCUCAUACAUACAUAGCCUUCCACAGUGCCUUGACUGGUGACCUGUCAGGGAUGUUGCCUUAGCAUGUCUAGAUAUGUCUAGACUUUUAAAGUAAUGCACAACUGCAUUAUUUUUUUAAGAUUCUAUUUUUUAAAAGUCCAAUUUUUCAUGAUAAACUUAAUAAGAACCCUACCUACUUAGUUUACUUCUUAUGAUGAUCAUGGCAUAGUUCAUGGCUUGAAAUUGUAGACAACUAUUUGCCACUCUUGGGACAUUUAAGAGUACCAUAAAACCUCAGGAAUGUGGAGGGCGUGUAGGAUAAUUUCUGAUCCACUUCUGUAUCAUGAUAUGAAAUAUAUCUGUAUAAAUACACCCAUAAAAUAAAAUACAAAUAUAAAUAUAUCCAUAUAAAUACCAAAUAUAGGUUAUAUGAAUACUCCUAAAGUAAUGGCUGUUAAAUAGUAUAUUAGAUUUUUUCCCCUUUUCCUUUGAUGAAUACAUUGAAAUUUAUUCAGGAAUAUUUGGUCUUUGGAAUACCUUUUGUGUACAGAAAUUAAUAGAUCCUAAAGUCAAUAUUUUAAUUGAGACUUAUUUAUUGAACCAGUUGAUCUUACAUGAGCUAAUGAGUGUUAUUAAGUUACUGAAAUAGCAAAAUUUCUUGCUUGUUUAUGUUUAAGAUUGGAUAUCAGCUGUUCAGGAGUUAAGUUGCCCAAAAUUACACAGUAGUUCCACCUCUGUCUGUUACCAUAAAGGCAGUAAUUCAGCCAUGUACAUAUUUUAUCUCUCCAGUACAAAACUCUAAGAUAUCAGACAUUGUUUUUUUUUUUUAAGUAAACCUGGUAAAUAUUGGAUUAUCAUUUAUAUUUGCAUGUUUUUAGAUCUAGAAACAUAAUAUCCUGAAAUAAAGAGAUGGGAUGCCCCACAUCUCUCAUCACUUUUCUCUUAAAUAAAGAAGGCUGGGACACACACACACGCACGCACAACAAACAAAACAAAAUAAAAUAAAGAAGUAGGAUGCACUCAAUAUCCCAUAGACUUCAAAAAGCCUGAAUAUCAUUUUACUGAAGAGGCAGCAGUCUGGCUCUACUUCAAAUUUUCCUUUGGCUCAAAACUCAUAAGUUAUCAAGGUGGCCACAGAACUAUAUAAAGCACUUAUAAAGCUCUGAAAACUCAAAAAUAAAUUCAAAUUCACCGAUAGUUAGAUGCAUGGCAGAAAAGCCGAUUAUUUGUGAUUGCUGUUAAUUCUUUGCUUGUGUUCACUAGAACAGUAAAGAGUCCCUACUACUAAACUGCCCCCCACUCCACUGAAGCCUGUGACUAAUUGCCUUAAACUCAAAAGGAAAAUGACAAUUAAAAGAUUAAAACUUUAUAAAAAUGUCUGCUAUUUGGAUACACUUUUCCUUAGCUUAUAUUUGCCAGUUUCCGACUCAGGGUUGACUUUUACAUUUACAUGUUCAUAGCACUGGCUUAAAAACAUAAAAAUUUCAGCUUGAGUUCUAUUGGGAAACAAGUAUAUGAAGUGUAGAGACUAAGCUUGUAUAGGAUUAUCAGUUCUUUCAGUGAUUUACUUUGUGAUUCUUUUUUGCCUUCUUUCAGUGCUCAAUUUUCAUUAAUAAAAUUGUCAGAGACUCCAGGUCAUCAAUAGUAUAUAAGUGAAAGAUGAUGGAAUUUUACAAAACAUCUUUUAUCUUUUAAUAUCUGCCUCAUUUGACAAGAAGCUUAAUUAAACAACAAAUAAAAGGACCCCUGUGAACUAGUGAGCUAAACCCGAAAGCUGAUGAAUUGUUGUUGGACAAUAAACUCAAAAUAAUAAAUUGUCUCUUUAUGAACUCUGGUAGCAUUAACAUUACAAGGCACAUUUGUUGAAAACAGUUUGUCUUAUGGUUGCCCAAGAGAUAAAAAUAAAGCCAAUUGUUCUUGAUUUCUCCAUUAAUCUUGGAGAAUGCUCAUGGAGAAUGCUACUGAAUUUUCUGAAAUAUUUAGUUUUUGGGAAAACUUGUGUUAAUGUGGUUUGUUUUAAUUCCCCUCCUGAUAGUUUCAUUUAAAUGUCAAUUAAACAUCUUUAAUAACACCUGCAUGUUUAAUAAAAUCAAACUCAACAAGGAAUGCUGCUGUGAGUGAGAAACUGCAUUCUUUCCCCUGGGAGAGUGUUUUUGAAAUCAGGAAGGGAUUGAUGAAUUGUGAGUAGGACAUCACCUAAAUCAUAAAGUUUUAAGUAGAGUAGCACUAAAUUUGUGAUAUAAAGAGCAAGUUAAAACUGUUAUAAAUACAAUGAGGACAGAAGAUGAGAGGAAAUUGCUAAGAAAUUUUGUAUGUCUGUUUUUCCCUGUAAUAUUUAUUGGUAUAGGAUUCUAGUAGUCAAAAUAAAAUGAAAUCUCUUUCAUAGCCUUGAAUUAGGGAAGUUUUAAGUAGUGCAAAGAAUGUCCCUUGAGAAGUAUUAGGAUAGAAAUACGUUACAAUGAUGUGUUCUUUUACAAAUUUUUAGAAAAAAGUUGAAAACUCUUAUUUUCCUGUCAUAAAAAAGUAAUUCUCACCCUCCGUGAGUUUUGUCAGAUUCCAGUAAGCUUAGUUCUGUCGCCAAAAGAUGAUGCUGUGAUGUUAAGCUAUUUCUAAAGGUACAAGGUUCCUGCAACUACAAAGAUAGGAUGCUCCAGUGAUAACAAAAUUAAAAGAGUGAGCUUUUGUGCUAUGUUUAUUCAGUCAUCUGACCAAAGCAAUUCCCUAAAAAAGUGUGUCCUAUUCCAUGAUUAUCGAUAGAUAUGUGUAAACAAUUAUGAUCGAACUCUCUGUUGAAUGAAGAUAGCUCAAGUGAUGCUAGAUGGCUUAACUAAUGUUAUUGAAGUAUAAUUGAUACACAAUAUUAUAUUAACUUCAGGUGUACAACAUAGUGAUUCAAUAAUCCUAUACAUUACUUAUUGCUCACCAUGAUAAAUGUAGUCACCAUUUGUCACCAUAAAACGUAAUUACAGUAUUAUUUAUUAUACUCCCUAUGCUGUACUUUUCAUCUCUGUAACUUGUUUAUUUUAUAACUAGAAUUUUGUACCUCUUAAUCUCCUUCACCUGUUUUGCUCAUCCCCCCACCUUCCUCCUCUCUGGCAAUCACCGGUUCUCUGUAUUUAUGAGUCUAUCUCUGUUUUUUGUUUGUUUGAUCAUUUAUUUUGUUUUAUAGAUUCCAUAUGUAAGUGAAAUAAUAUGGUAUUUGUCUUUUCUGACUUAUUUGACUUAACAUAAUGCCCUCUAAGUCUAUUCAUGUUGUUGUAAAUGGUAAGAUUUCAUUCCUUUUUAUAGCUAAGUAAUAUUCCGUUGUGUGUGUAUGUUUGCAUGUGUGUGUGUCUAUACGACAUCCUCUUUAUCCUUUCAAUUAUUGAUGGACACUUAGGUAGCUUCCGUAUUUUGGCUAUUGCAAAUAAUGUUGCAGUAAACAUAGGGGUGCGUGUAUCUUUUCGAAUUAGUGUUUUUGUUCUCUUUGGCUAAAUAUCCAGAAGUGGAAUUCCUGGGUCAUAUGGUAUUUCUAGUUUUAAUUUUUUGAUGACCCUCCAUACUGUCUUCCCUAGUGGCUGUGCCAAUUACAGUCCCACCAGCAGUGCAUGAGGGUUCCCUUUUCUUCACAUCCUUGCCAACAGCUGUUACUUCUUGUCUUUUUGAUACUAGCCAUUCUGACUGGUAUAAGGUAAUAGCUCAUUGUGAUUUUGGUUUGUGUUUCUGUGAUGAUUAAGUAAUGUUGAGCAUUUGUCGUGUGUCUCUUGGCCAUCUGUAUGUCUUUGGAGAAAUGUCUAUCCAGGUCCUCUGCUCAUUUUUUAUUGGAUUUUUUUUUUUUUUUUUUUUGGUGUUGAGUUGUAUGAGUUCUUUAUACAUUUUGGAUAUUAAGCUCUUAUUGGAUACGUCAUCUGCAAACAUAUUCUCCCAUUCAGUAGAUUGCCUUUCCAUUUUGUUGAUGGUUUCCUUCAUUGUGCAAAAGAUUUUGGGUUUGAUACGGCCCUCAUUGUUUAUUUUUGCUUUUGUUUCCCUGCCUGAGGAGAAAGAUCCAGAAAAAUACUGUUAAAAUUGAUGUCCAGGAGAUUACUGCCCAUGGUUUCUUCUAGGGAUUCUAUGGUGUCAGGUCUCACAUCUAGUCCUUAAUCCAUUUUGAGUUUAUUUUUGUAUAUGGUAUAAGAUAACAGUCCAAUGUCAUUCUUUUGCAUGUGACUUUCUAGUUUUCCCAACACCAUUUAUUGAAGAUAUUGUCUUUUCCCCAUUGUAUAGUCUUGCUUCCUUUGCACAGAUUAUUUGGUGCUGUAAGUAUGGGUUUAUUUCUAUACUCUCUGUCCUGUUCCAUUGAUUUACAUGUCUGUUUUUAUGCCAAUACCAUAUUGUCUGUUUUGAAAUCUGGUUUGUGAUACCUUCAGUUUUAUUCUUCCUUUUCAAGACUUCUCUGGUUAUUCAGGGUCUUUUGUGGUUCCAUACAAAUUUUAGGAUUAUUUGUUCUAGUUCUGUGAAAAAUACUAUUGGUAUUUGAUAAGGGAUUACAUUGAAUCUGUAGAUUGCUUUAAAUAGCUUAUUUUAAAUUUGUUCACAUGUUGAUCCAAUAUUAUGUUAUUCACAUAUGUAGAUUAAAAGUGUAUGUUACAUACCUUUCUUUGCAAUUUUGAUUUUGAAGAAUAUACCUAGAACUAAAGAUAUGCAUUUUUCCAUUCUUUGUAGACUUUGUCUUCUGUUUUUCCAAAAUACUUUUGAUAAUUUAUUUGUAUUUAUUAUACUAAUCACUAACAUUAAUACUGCCUUUGUGCCAGGCAUUAUUUUUAAUUCUGUAAACAACACUGUGAAUUAAGCACUAUUUUUAUCCUCAUAAAAUGAAGAAUCCAAGAAAGUAACUUGCCUGAGGUCACAGGGAUGGAAAAGGACACACACACACAAAAAAAACCACAUCAGUCAGACUCCAGAGCCAGAGCCAUUUUGGUAGAUGAUGCUAGAAAUAGUUUUAAGACUCACAAAAUCACAAUGAAACUAACUUUAUCAUGUUAAAGGUGUCACAAUAGACUUCUGCUUUUUCCCUUAGAAUAUCAUUCCUUCCUGAAAAUAAAGGAAAUAAAAUUCAUUCUCUAUACCAUCCCUAAUUAUCUCUUCAGUUUUGGAUUCAUCAAGGUGAGGAUGAGGGAAUUACUCCUGUGGAACAUGUUUCUUUCAUUGCAGUAGGUAAGGUCUCCCUUUGUGGCUAUGGGAGCAAGUCUGAGCUCAGACAAAGGAUAACUAUAGGGAAAUUUAUUAUUCAUUCCCUUCAGCUCACUGUGCAAAUUUAUCAGAGGAGUGUCUUAUAAGUUCAAUAGAGCCUACAUUUUCUCUUAAAAAUAAUUCAAACGUUCUUUUUUAUGGAUACCAUUGCAGCAUCCACUAAGGAGAGCACUGAGAUAUGCUCAAUUUUUCCAUUUCCUAAAUAUCUUUUAUAUGACAAGAUAUAAAAAAAAACUAUCAUUUUGGUUUUAGUUCCAUUACUGUCAAAAAUAAAAGCAUUGAGAAAGAGAACUGUAAGCUUUGGGCAAUUUCCAGCACUCUUUUGCCUUCUGCACUUUCAUUUAUAUGUUCCUGAGGAUCACAGUUGUUAAUGAAAACAAAUUUAAAAGCAAGGAACAGAAAAGUUAGACAUUUUCUGCCGCAGAGUAUGAGUUGGCAAGAAGGGCACAUAAAAGGCAGAGCUGAGUGCUGAGCCGUGUGCUAUUUUAGGGCAGUGCUCGCCCUGAAACAAUGUGCUGAGAUGUAAAAAGAUGGCAAGUUCAUCCUGCAUUUCCAAGGUGCAUGCUUCUCCAAAACGAUCAUUUCAACCUUCCCUCCUUAUUCAGUGGGAAUUAACUGCCCUUGAGAACUCAGUUGUGAAAUGUUACUGUUGCAGAGUGCUUUUCACUUUUUGGAGAUUUCCACUUGUUAUGUCAUUUAUUACAGAAUGCCUAUGAAGUAGUUAGGCAUGAAAGCCCAGAGGGGUAAGGACCUCCAGCCCGAUGGUGGCAGAGGCACAACUAGAGGAAAUGGCAUAAGAAGAGAAACAUUAAUUAUUAGCUGUGCUUGUCGAGAAUUCUGCAAAUGUAUAUUGUAAAAUCUUCAGAAAUACCAAGCCGUUAAUAGGAAUUUUAACAGAUUUGCCUCAUGUGAUUUGCUUCCCAAAGUAUGUGUAACAUGGUACCUUUAACAGUCCCUAAAUUUUCAAUUAACUACUUCUUUUUUUUUAGCAAUAAUUUGUGGAUUAUUAUGUCAAAAUUUAAAUAUAUUUAACACUAUAUUAGAAAUGUUUUUGAAUUCUCUUUGGAAAGAAUGAGGCUAUACAUAAAUAUCAAAAAUUCAUAUUUUUAUUUGUGUCUAAUUCAUGUUAAGUUAAUGAACAUACUGCCUUUCCCAAAUUACAACUCCCAUAGUCAAGAGUUUUGAUUGUUGUGCUGUGUACAUCAGGAUACCAUUUUCCUCUUUGUCAACCCCUGGAAUAGAGUAUUCUACUCUUUCCAUUUAUGUAUUACCUUAGAAGGAAAAAAAAUCAUUAAAGUAAUCUCAUGUCCUAGUUUGAAGUGAUGUCAGUGAAAAUGCCUGAUAUUCUUGCCUUUCUCAAUUUUAGCAGUUGCUAGCAUUUAAGAUUCUUGAUUAAAAAGUGUGAAAUAUUCUACCUAAUUAAUUCCUAAUUUGCUACCCCACUGAAACCAGAGUUUGAAUGUAAGAUUGUUCGUAUUUAAUCUUCUAUAUAAUGUAACGGCUAAUGUCAAGUCUCUAGUCUCUGUGGACUUGAUAUACCAAAGAAUUCAAAGCAAUAUAAUUUUGCAACAGAUAAUUGCUAUUCCUCUAGGAGGAGGGUCAGACUGCUGAUCUCAUCAAAACAACAAAACAAAACACCUUGAUUCUCUGCAGGAGUAAUAGCACUAAAGAAGCAAUUGCUAAAUUCUUUCAUGAAAAACAUCUUAUUUCCUUAUCAUGGCGUUUCACUUUCUAAAGAUAGAAUCAGUUAUGGAGAGGGGAUGUAUAUCUGAGUAAAAAUAAAUGUACUAUCUAUAUACACACAUACAUGUGUACACAUACCCUGUGAGUAAAGAUCUGUUGUGUUUCACUACCGAUUAGGUCUGUCCUGAGUAUACUGACUUGUAAAUGCACAAAACAAAAGUUGAAAAGUUAGGGAAAAAGCUAUUGUAUUCCUGGUAUCGUCUUUAAUGUAUUAUUUAUGUUUUCUUAUGUUCGAGUUUCAAAUACCGCAAAUUUAUAUUCAUAUAGUAAUUGGUGAUUAGCUUGGCAAACACUUUAGUUCUUAACAUAUUACUGCAACCCAGAUGUACGUAGAGUAACAGCUCAGUGCAAGUGAGCUGAGGCGCAGAGCAAGAAACUGUAGUGUCUUUGAGCCUUGCCUCCUUCCCAUUACUGAUGGUUAGUCAUGGUGAGAACAAAGGGACUUGCUGAACCUGUCAGAAGGAGGUAAUCCAUUGUUACUACAGAUAACAUGAACAGGAACCUCAAGGGAAUGAAUUGGGCAAAUCGUAUGGGACGACACCGCAAAUACCUAAAUUUGUUCCCUACGCUUGCUGCUUUUACAGCCAGUGAAGUCUUGCAGCCCAAGUUGCUCAUGUUACUCUAGUUAGCAUGAAUUGCCAAGGAGUUAGCAGAUUUCCAAUUAUAGCAUAUGAAACAUAAUCUUUAUGUGCUUUGUUUUCUAAAAUCUUCAUUUCAGAAAAUUUAGAUUAGAAAAGACCUCUUCUCUUCUGUAAACAGACAUCAUUUUGUACAAACUGUAUGAGGUGUACCAAGCUGGUGCUUCAUUCAUUACUGAAAUUUGAUAGUGGACACAAGUCUGAAGAUUUUAAGACUACUAGCAAAAUUAGAAACCGAGAGUAAAGGGAGUCCAAUACCCUGAUAUUCCUGACCUUCCUUAUUUGGCUCAGGUAGAAGGGGGUAUGUGUGGCCACCGUCCUCUCAAGUGUUAGAGACCAUUACAGGUAAAAAAACAAUUCCAACAGAACUGCCAUUCUUAACACAGGGACCUUUUGUUUAAUGAAAAGUGAAUAACACCAAAGUGAUUAUAAAAUGGACUUGUAUAAACUAAAUAACAUUUGUAUUGAAUUUCUUUAUGAAAUUAGAGUUUGUCUCUAGGUAUACAAAUCAUUCAAUAGACUGGCUUGAAAAACUUUCAAUAAAGAAACUUAAGAAUGAUGACCAGGCAUGUAAAAAUUCUGAUAAUAUGAUGCAGUGAAUAUUUUGGAGCUCUUUUUAUAACUUUCCAACCUCUUAAAUACACACUAGUUGUUAUAAUUCAAGCAAAAACAAAAUCUCAUAACUUAUUGGACUUAUUGGAUAAUUUAUUUUGGAUCAGUUGCCAGUAAGAGCCUUAAACAUUCUCUAAACAUUAUCAACCUGGCUCUGUAUUUACACGUAACUGUUAUUAGUAAUAAUGAUGCAAACAGUGGGAAGCAAUUGGAGUCUCAUUGGUAUCAUAUACAAAUCUGGGUAUAAAUAGAAGCCCUCUUUCUUGCAUCAAAAGCUUCCAACUUUUGCUGGUCCAUCCAGCUAGAUUGUUGCUACAUAAAUUCAGACUCAUGAGCUAUUUUUUUUUCUUCCCUGAACAGUAAUGCUCACAACAUUCCAAGAGACCAGAACAUUAAGCUGGAAUAAAACAAUGAGUGUAUUGUCAUCAUCAAAAGGAACAUUUUGAAUUUUAUUAGAAGAAACCAAUUAAGAUGUUAUUUUCAAGCACAGGGCUUGGCAUGGCUUCAGAAAGUUACUUCCUGGAAUCGGGCAGGGGUUUAGCUGGCACAGAGAGAUCUUUAGCUUAACGUCUUGACAGCUUUAAUGCACAUGCAACUGGAAUUUUUUUUCUUUAAGCUGAUUCUCUUAAAAGCAUGCUUCCUGCCACUGUUCAACAUAAUUGCAUCAAUUCCAUUUUCCAUUAGUACUCAAAACCUGCUGAUAUGACUGGAGUUGUAAAACCUUUGUGUGAAAAUCUAAUUAUGCAUCAUUUUUUUUUUCUGGACGAUCUUAUAAUGCAUAUGUUGUAUGCAGUUGUAUGUUUUUUAUUUUGAUAUUUAAAGUAGGAUAAGCAAAGAGAUCUUUAUGCCAGUAUUAUAUAUUUUGGUUAUUCAUUUAAUUGUAUCAACAAUAGUGGUGUAAACAAUUUUCUAUUACAGGAGGAAAAGAACAUUCAAUAGGCUAUAUUUUGUUGAAGAAGAAAGAGCACUUAUAUGUGUAUUAAUAAAAUAUGCUCAUUUCAGAUGAAAGGAAAGGAUUGCUUCUCUCCUCAUUUAUGUCUGUAAUAGCUAUAUCUCUUAUCAUUUAUUUUCAGCAGUUUGCCUUUAUAGAAUCUUGUAUGAUCAUCUGCAUUGGUUUAGCUCAUCUCAUAUCUGUCUACUUUUCUGAUAUGUAUUUGACACUUUUCUAUACAUAUAGUUAUGUGUAGACAUUUCAGAUAUUACAUUAGAAAUUUAAAGUAUAAAAUACACUCAUCUGGCAGUUUAUCACCUUGCGUUUGUUUUCCUCAUGUCCCCUCUUUCGUUUUUCUUCUUCUUUAAUUGAAGUGAGAAAAAGAUUGUCAAGGUUAACCUGAAAUUAUUCACAAAAUGGUGAAAGCCUCAAAGCCCAGGUGCUGAUGGAAUGUGUAGCAGGAACGGAGUUAAAGGUGGCCUAGAGUUAAGUACAAAAAGAAGAAUGGCAUGAAUCCUCUCCUUGGUGACCACCUGUUCUAGUCAGCAGGAUAUGCCAACUACAUAAAGAACUAUUAUACCAGGCGCACCAGGCCAUAAAAGAGGCACAAACAACUCAUAGAAGAGGUCAGUUUUGAAAUAAAAACAUUACCUUAAAUUGGCUUAGAUAUUUAUUGGCUUUAAACCCAUUGUAGGCAUUAAUCAUUCUGCUAACAGGGAUUAGAAUUUUUAUCAUGGUUAUAAACUAGAUUGAGAGGGGAAUUCAGUUGGAAUGCCAAAGAAGAGGCAUUUGCACUUGAGGAAAGGUCUCCAAGCCUCUGAGGGAAAGCACUUUUGCUGGGUUUCCUUUGUUUUGUUUUGUUUUGUUUUAUUUACCUCCAAAUUCCCAGCAGUGUCUGUAACUAUGCAGAAUCAUUAUCACCACCGGACUGAUCAGUUGACAAACAGCUUGACUCCAGUUUGCCAAAUUGUCUUUAAAUACCCUGCAUUGAAAAUCCUCAACUGUAUAGAGUGGUGGUAGGGGUGGGGAACUGGUUUUAUCCUCUCCAUUUCUUGAUUUCCAGAUCUCUCGUUUGCUCACUCUCCAGCGCAUGUGCGCAUGCUCUCUGUGCUCUCUCUCCUUCUCCCCUUCUCUCCCUCUCCUCUCUGCCCCCCACAAUCUCGGCCAUAUUUGAGGGAUAGAGCAAAGGCAUGAAGGAGCCAGACCCGAGGUUCAAAAUAAUUAGGUCUUCAGAAACAUCUUCCAUGCCCCCAAAUGAGUUCCAUACCAGAGGUCAUUCUUUCUCUGAGCUUUCCUUCCCAUCAGCAGUUUGCCACUACUUCAUCAUAAGGCUACAAGACAGAAGAAAUUAAGCCAGGGAAAAAAAAUCAGUAAUUCUGAGUUUUAGGAAUGAUGGCUUGGGUUAAACCUAAGACCUCAGAACAGUGAUUCUCAACGUUGGCUACACAUUAGAAUCAUCUGGGAGCUUUAAAAUCCUGAUGCCCAGACUACACCCAGAGCAAUUAUGUCAGUAUAUCUAGGGAUGAGGCAUAGAAACUAGUGUUUUUAAGAUACUCCAGGCGAUUCCAGUCUUCCAGUUAGGAAUCACUGUCCCCAAAUCCCUAAAGUUCACUUUCUGUGAGAGAACAUGAAAUCUCCGAGGAAUUUUUAACAAUGAAAGAGCUGUGUUCAGCCUAUUGCUCUAAUGGUGUCCAGGAUAGCACUAAACAGUAAAUUUUAGCUCCUUUACUCAACAAUUAAGAUUUUCAGUGCCAGAGAAAUCAUCAUUACUGUAGCCAUAAUGUAGCUUGAGUGUUGACAACCCUUUAAGAGUGAACAAAUACCCUUCACUCACUUCUAUGUGAAAUGUGAAGAUCCAAUUCAAAGCCAUGACCUAGAAAAUUAUGUUCUAUUUUUAUUUCCUUUAUAUUUUGAAAUGUAGGGGCAUCUCAGUGAGGUUCUUGACAACUUAAGCUAGGUCUUGAUUUACGUUACAUCACUGGUCAUAGAGUCUGCUGCUAAGAAAAUAAAGGUUUGUGCAAUUGAUGCUCUCUCCUAGACAAUUCAUUUGUAUGUACUUUGUGUCUGAUUGUGGGAUAACAGACCCUCCAGAAGGUAAGAGCUUACAGAUAGUAGUGGUAGAGGUAGGGAGAGUGGGAGUAAAUGUAACAUAGGGAAGGUUUCUUCUCAGGAAAAAAAAAUAUGUCACCUAUGGCAAUGGGAACAGGUUCUGUUCUUUUUUCCUAUAUCCUUCUUUUCCAGCCUCUUCAAUGACCAUGAUGCAUAAUAGAUGCUUAAUAAAUACUUGAAAAUCAAAGAACAAAUGACUUAUAUUUGCACUAGCAAUGUAGAGUACUGGAGGGGAGCAGGAGUAGGUUAGAAAGCACAAAAAUAGUGAAUCAAACUCUGUCUAGCUCUGAGUUCCAGGAUCACAAAGGGCCAGUGAUUCAGAGAGACCUUUCUUAAUAUGCUUUUAACCUUCUUCUUAGAGAAUUACCUUGGUUUAGGUCUCUGAGCUUAGUAGUGUCAUCCUAUUACUGUUAUGUGGGUAGAAAAGACAUGGCUUUUAUUAGCUUAUGAAACCUGCAUACUUACAAAUCAGAUUUCUGGAGUAAAAUACCAUGUGUAAGGGUAAUGAGAGAGAAAUAAACAAAGCAAUGUUAUAAGCAGGUCAGUAAACAGAACACAAAACCGAGUACUUGGGGCUUUGAAGAGUCAGUAUUGACUAUAAAGGAUAUGUCAUAUUUACAUGGUUAUAUUAAAACAACAUGAAUUAAAAACUUGGCCAUUCUCAAGAGCUUUAUGGUGUUUGUUUCAAUGUUCCAAUAUGAUGUCUUUCAUUAGAGGGGAAAAAACUGUUUUUGUGGAAGAUAGAAGUUUAACACCUUGAAAUGCACAAUAUACAUAAAAUGGGCAAAUUCUGGAAUUCACAGUUUGCUCAUUGGAUGCAGUUCAUGAAGGAGAAGAAAAUAAGCUAGUUAUUAAGUGAAACCGCAAACGGUGUUCUAGGACAUUGUGUGUUUUUUAGGAUUCUAGUCACAUCAAACUAAGAUUUUUUUUCCUAAGCUUCCAUCUAUAACUUUAUUGACUGAUCUUUAAUGGAAAGAUAUAUAUUUUGCCUUUAAAAGAAAUGAUUAGAUGUGGUGUGCUCCUAUUAUUUAGGACUUGGUAGCAAGUCUUGCAAAGUAUAUAAACAAAACAAAGUAAAUGAAGAACUGACAAAUAACUAAUAAAUGCUUAAAAUAUUUCCAGGAAUAAAAUACCAAUAUCUGGCUUCAUAGACUUUAUGAAUGCAACUCAAUGUAUCAAAAUGCAAAUUUCACAAAUGGAAAAUACUUUUGUAACAUACUAAAUUAGCCACAUUGGUUAAUUUUAGGGUCAUGAGUCAAAGGAAUAUUUCCUUUAUCAUUUAUUCAUUUGAGAGUAUCAUUGAUAAAACUCAAGUCAUCAUUUAAUUCUAACAUGACAAAUGGAAAAAUUGCUUGACUUUUAAAAUAAUAUUCAGGUUCCUAAUAUAUUUCUGGAGUUCACCCACCAAAAUGAAGUGCAGUAAUUCCUUGUACCACCCUCUUUAACAGGCAAAACUGUGACUCAUUUCCCCCACCCAAUUAACACCAGAUUGUUUAGUGCAGUGUAUAAAAUGAGGUGUUAUAGCUCAGUUGUUCCCAGUUUAUUUUUAAGCCACUUAGGCAAUAUAUCCAACAUCUUCUCUUCCUGGGAACACAUACUAAAAUACAAAUUAUACAUUUUUCCAUAUUUCAUUCUUGGGUCUGUGCUAUCUCAGUAGUAAAGAGGAAAAACGUGAUGGAGAAUUUAUAGGGCAGUGCGAUGAACUAGUCAUGGAAGAACUAUAUUUUAUGCAUUCACUUGUUACGUAGAAGGAUUUUAUUUACUUAUAUUUAAUGGAUGAUUCACAGGACAGUUGUGAAUAGGCCCUCCUAACCAUUACCUUUGCUUCAUUUAAACCAAAAUGGAACAGCUGUUUCUGUUUUGUACACUCUAUAGCUAAGGCAAAUAGGUCAGGCUUAGGAGCACAGUGCCUGGGUUUGAAAUAUUUCUCCACCAGUUAGAAGCCAUGUAACUCAUGGCAAUUCCCUCAACUUCCCUGGACUUUAUUUACUAGGCUAUAAAGUAAGGAUAAAUUAGUUCUUACCUAAUACUUUCAUCAUGAAUAUUAAAUGUGGUAAUGUAUGUAAAACAUUUAGCAAGACAUGAUACACAGUAAAAAUACACUAAAUGUUAGAUGUUAUUUUUAUGAUUUUGUAUAAAGCUGAGGGAAUUAAAAGAUGACUAGGAUACACUCCAUGUCCUUAAGAAAUAUAUUGUCUGUGUAUAUUAAGAAACAUCAUUCUAGAGGUGGAAAACUUGUGGGUCACUGGCCUAAAAAAGAAUGUUCUUGGCUCCAUAAUAUUUAAAAAUGAAUUAGCUGCUAACAGUUAAGAGUCAGAUUUUUGUUGAUGGUGUGUAUUUCUCAUUGUUCUUGAGAAGUCAGAGGAUCUAGAAAGGAUAGAUGGGGGGCUGAGUAGGGCUGUCCCCUUCUAGCCUGAUUUCCUUUCAUUUAUGUUCACCUGUCUAAACCUUGCCAGCAUGAGAGUUUUCUACUCUUGGUCUAGAGUUGGGCACAAUGACAGAUAAAAAAUCAUUUCUGGUUAAAGCAAGAGUCUUAGAAGAAUGCUGUCUCUUUGGUGGCAUUAGGGCAUAAAAGAGAAAAAAAUAGAACUCUUUCUUUCAAGAAUAUAUAAUUAGAAAAAAAAAGGAAAUAAAAAUAAUAAAACAAGGUUUAUAUCGUAUCUUCCUAAAAAAAUAUACACCAUGUUCAUGAUAUUGAACAUAAAUAGAACCAAAUUGAACAAAAUAAUACAUUUACUUUUGUCCUUAUUUAUGAAAAUAUUAGUUAUGAAAAAGUAAGUUGGGAAAGAGCGUGUAAGAAAGGUUAGUGAAUGGAAUCAAAAACAGCACUUCUUUUUUCAUAAAUAUGUAGGUAUGUGAGCAUAUAUUGAGGUUUGCAUGAAGACACAAACUGUCCAUAAAAUAACAGGCUAUGUUGACAGACUUUAGGAUAGAAUUUAUCAAGGCACUAAGAUCAGCAGAAGAAGUUAGAGAAGGUUUGGUUAGGCUGUGAUUAAUGAUGUGAUCAUAUAGCCUGUUAUUUUGUGCCUAAAAAAAGCUCAUAAAAUUUUUUAUUCAAUCAUUUCAUUGAAAAUCUAGUGUCAGAUAUCCUAGGUUCAUACAUAUUUAUUUAAGGAAAGAGAUCUUACAUUAAGUAUUCUGAUACUCAACACAGUGUUAUUAUGGAAGUCUGAUUCCCAAGUACUGUGAGCUGCAGGACUGAUGUGAUUUGGUUCUGCCCAUAUUUUGCUAAAUAUUGACAAAACAUUGCCUGGAGCAUAUAUAUACUAUCAAUAUAAAAAUUCUUGUUUUAUUAUGAUGAUACAUAUAUAUCUCUGUUUCUAUUAUACAAUGAGCUCAAUGUUACUCAUCUUUAAUAAGAAUUGUUUCAGAUUGAGUCCUUGGGUUCAUAUACUUUUCAUUUUUUAAAUCUGUGAAAUUAUUUAGAAAAAACAAAUCUUCUGGAUAUGGUCUUCAUAAACUACAUCUAAAUUCUCCCUUGUUAUUCUUUGUGUCAAUUCUUAUUGACAAUUACAUCAAGAUGUAAGUACAAAGAAAAAAAUAUUUCCAAGUUCAUAGAGUUUAGAAAUUUUUAUUAUGUAUUCACUCAACAUGGUUAUGAUCCAUUGUUCUAUACUAUCUGACUGUACUAUCAAUUAAUAAAGGUACUGAAUAGCAAAUUAAAAAGAAAAUUAAUUUAAAAGUUAUAGUUAAACCAAGUAACACAGUAGCCUUAAUCUUUAUUUUUUUUAUUAUGUUACGUUAAUCACCAUACAUUAGUUUUUGGUGUAGUGUUCCAUGAUUCAUUGUUUGCAUAUAACACCCAGUGCUCCAUGCAGAAUGUGCCCUCUUUAAUACCCAUCACCAUAGCCUUAAUCUUUAAACUGUAAAUGCAACCUUCUUCUUAAUCUCCUUUGACUGAAUUUCCAUUCUAUUCUUUGUUUUCCCCAGUAUCCAAUCUUCCACUCAGUUAAACAGCUUCAGACUGUAUUCCAGCAGCUUUCCUCAGCUGGUUACCUUUCUGCUCUUCAAGUUCCUGAUUCUCAUUCUUUCCUUUUCUGCACCUCUGAGCACUCUUUUCUGUCUGUGUGCCCUGCCAUGCACACCUUCUCUUGUUUUCAUUUAUCCUUCCCUUCCAAUUGAGGCCAGAAUUGACCUGGGCAUGGGAGCAGUUCUGAAGACUGUGGUCUUCACUAAGCAGCCCUUUUACUGCUAGUCAUGUCCUACAGUCCCCAACCUUACAAGAAGACAUUUCUUCCCUCCAGAGAUCUACUUAUCCCACAAGGAACAAAAGAAUAUUGAGUUUUAAUGGACUUUCUGUUUUAUGUUUUGAUGGAAAUUCCCCAAUUUAAUAUUUCUAGUCACUGCCCUACAACCCCAUACACUGCCCCACAGCCCAGGAGACAAGAAUGAAUAAUUUUGUCUAGCUCUCGUUCAUUUUAGAUCCUUAUUUUUCUAAUAAUUACUUGAAGAAAAUUAGAGGGAGAAGAAGUAAAAAGAAUUACUAACUUUCAGAACCAGCAGGCCAGUGGAUCAGGCAGGCCAUGCAAGCUGCUGGACAGUUCCACAACCCCAUGCUGUCCUCAGGGGUCUUUGUGCCUCUCUCACUCCACUCUCCCUCCCAGGGUGGUGCUCUGAGAGCCUACCACCCUGCCAUACACAGUCUCAUCAGCUUUCCUUCAUUGGGAGGUUGAUUCAAGAAGAAGCAGAAUAUUUUUAAAAAGCUGGCACAGAAGGAAGAGAGGCUAAGAUGUAGGUUAGCCGAGUUGCAAGAUGGCAAGACUAGAGUAGGGCCCAGUAGACAACCCUGUGACAGCCACUUCUGAAGGAACAACCCCUAUGGUUGAACGAGGGUCAUUUGAGAUCCUAUUUGGAUCCUAUUGGAGCUGAGGUUUAGUUCACUAUUAUUAGGCUGAUCUAGGUGGCUGCUAAGAUGAAUUUUUGUUUCCCUUUUUAUCCUUUUAUUUAUUUUAUUUUUAAAUGUAUACCUUUUACAAAAGGUAACUUGAGAUGGACCUGCUCUUGAUAAUAGGUGUAUGAUUGAGGCUUGGUUAAUUGAUGGCAUCAGGAGACAGUAAAAUGAAGAAGAACUCCCACAGGUGGAAUGACUAAAGGUUAGAGGACAAGAGUUUUUACUGUUACCUUGAUUUGACACAAAUUAUGUCACCAGUGGGUACCCUGAGUAAUCACUUUUAGAUGCUGAUUUGAUUGUAGUCUGAAGCAUUUUCAAGUUCUCUACAGUUGCAUUGUUAUUAUGGAAGAAUAAGCAAAUCUAAUGUUUGUAGUUGGAGGGCUAUUUAAAAGAUAAUUUAGAAAUCAUAGAGUAAUGUGAAUUGUAAUGUGAUUAUGCUAAAAAUUGUGUGGGAAUACUGAGUGUGAUUGAUAUGAAAAACUAAACACAAAUCUUACAUUUACAUUACUGUAGUCUCUGUAUUUUCUCUUUUUAUAGCAUUUUAGAAAAUAUUAUGAAAAACAAUAAUUAGGGAGUGCUUACAAACUUUAUUCAUAUAGUAGUAUCUUAUGCCUAAAGAUCAGUCAGUCAAUGUUAAGGAUGGAUUGUAGAAAAAAAACUUAAAAAUGAGAACAGUUGACAUAAUUAAUUUAUGUAGGAUAAGCUUUGUUUUAGACAGCCCUAAAUUGAAUCAUCACCUUGAUUUUUCCAGAUCACAGAGAUAUUUUAGAAAAUGAGGUAACUGUUUGGAUGUUUCCAAAGAGAUUUUUUGGAGCAUUCUCCUCUGUGUGUUUUUGAAGUAAUCAUUGUUUCUACCUAGAUAAUUAAUAGAUUCCAUAUAAUACUGAGAGCCUUUUAUGUUAAAACGUAUAAAUCUUAUAAAUCUCUGCAAUAUUCUAAUCACUCUAUGUAUAAUUUGAUGUGUAUAGUAGGAAUUGAAGUUUUAUUUAUCAAGGAUUAGAAUUUCUGCAGAUUUUCAUUUAACAUUUUUCAUUAUUUGCCACUUUGUUAAGCAUCAUCAGGAAAUAUAUUUUAAAAAUUAAAAGAUUACUGUAUCUCAACAUUGGAUUCAGGGAACACUGCCCUGCAUUGUCAGUUUACAUAGGGAAAACUAAUGAGGCUAUAAAGAAAUACUAUCUGUUUUAUUAGAAUUUCUUUUACCAGUGAAACAGCUGGAAAAACAGAGUUAGUCGGCUGGCUUCCAUUUUCCAUUGCUUUCUGCCCUUCAAAUUCAGAUUUCCUCUUGUUCGUGACCACAUGCUCACCACACACAGACUCCUUGGUUUGUUACUUUAAAGCCACAUGGAGAUUAAGCACCAUUAGUAAAGACUAGGUUAGGAAAAGUUUUAACUAAAAUAAAUGGCACUUUCAGAGUGUGGAUUUAUGGAGAGUGUGCAUGUGAAUGUGUGUGGGCGGGGGUGUGGGUGGGUGGAAUAAAUCAAUUAGGAAGAAAUCAGGUGGUUGGGUUGGGUGCCAUUAGUGAUUGAGGCAUGUUUUAUGUUGCGAUCCCAUUUCUAACAGUCUAAUUGUAGUAAAAUGCCAAGUGGCAUUCUGGUAGCCAGAAAGAAUAUGCAUCACUUUCCUAUAUUUAGAAUGAGAAUUCUAUUGCUGAAAGAAGAACUAGAUGUCAUUUAAUCUGGCCCUUUUAUAUUACAGCUGAAGUCUAAGAGAUUAAAUGUCUUGGCCACUAGGCAAAUAAAUAGAACUUGGGUAUAUUUGUUGCUUGUCUACGGUAUUCCCGUAUCAUCAUCACUCUCUACCUAUCCAUGUAAAGGGUAUAUGGAGAAAUUAGAAAUGCAGCGUGAAGAAGAAAGAGUAAGAGUGGAUCUAUUCAGGCUUUAAAAAGACAUAAUCAUAAAAGAUAAAUUGAGUACUGUGAACUAGGAAAGUUUUUGGACCAAAAACAAAUAAAAAUUUGUUGAUGUUUUACACCUACUGUUUAUGGUUAGUAUCUAAAAAGAGAAAAAAAAGAAAGCAUUUAAAGUCAUCUGCCUCUACAGCUCAUGAAGUGCUAUUUAGCCAGUAUCAGAGAGGGUCCAAUUCCUUCUACUUUGGAAGCAUGUUCUUUAGGGAAAUAGGUGAAUUUUGUUUAAAAAAAAAUUUGGUAGAAACAUGCAUCCAUAUCCUCUACAUUUCAAAAGAACUUCCAUAAACAUUGCGAUAAAAACUAUUUAAAAAAUCAUGUAAGGGUUAAUUCCAAUAAACAUUCUACUAAGAGGACAAUGAAAUAACUGUGUAAGAUAUAAAGAACGAUUUAUGUUCUAGUUUUUUAGGGAGGCACAAGAAGUUUAAAUUGCACAUAUGCAAAUCUAAUUCACUGUGUUUUUUUAUACUCUUUAGCAAUAGAGGCCCCCCAUUUAAAUAAGGAAAAAACGUAGUAUAUCCUAACACACUCUCUUAUGCAACUGCUGCAGUUAAAACUAUAAUUCACAAUAUUCAGGAAGUAGUUUGAAGCAUUUGUAUUGUCUACCAAGGAAAGAAUUAUCUCAUUGCAGUAUAAACUGGAUAUUUAUAUCAUAACAAUGACAGAAACAGUUUGGGCUAUAGGGUUAGUUUUCUCAGCAUUCAUGUGUGACAACUCAGGCAAGUUAUAGCAAUAUAUUCAAAGUAGACAAAUGUCUUCAGCUACCUUUCAGUCAUGACACAACAUUAAAAUCCUUGUAACUUUAAGGUUUGUUUACAUUUUUAAAAUGCUUAUCUGUUUCAUAAUGGCUGAAGGGCAAUUUAAGUUAAUUUUUUUAUAAGGUCUGGUCUUUUGUUUUCAGGAAUUAUUUGAUAUACCUUGGAAAUAUCCUUAAUAUAAUCCCCUGCAUUAUUCAUGUAACCUGCAAGUUAGAAUCUACAUAAACACAGGAUGACAAGUAACACAAAAUACACAAUGCUGUAUAUCAAUAUGAUACCCCCAUCAGCCUUUCAAGAUACUUCCUGAUUUAAAAAAUUUCUCAUUGAGAACCUACCACAUUUAAGGUAUCCUGUCCUUUAUUGAGCAGAACAGUAAAUGAUGGACAUCUUGCUUUCUAGAAAUAUACAAUCCCAUUAAGGAGAUGCAGAGAAUAAUAACUGUACAAUAUGACACUAAAGAGAUAAGGAAAAAAACAAAGAAGUGAGUUUUACCUGAAGAAAGAGUACAGGGGGCACCUGGGUGGCUCAGUCGAUUAAGCGUCUGCCUUCGGCUCAGGUCAUGAUCCCAGGGUCCUGGGAUCGAGCCCUGCAUCGGGCUCCCUGCUCCGCGGGAAGCCUGUCUCUCUCUGUCAAAUAAAUAAAUAAGAUCUUUAAAAAAAAAGAAAGUACAGUUUAAGAAUAUGCAUCCAGGAAAGAAGGUAGAGCGUCUAUCUGAUAGAACAAUGGCGUAGACAUCAAUUUCCUAAAUUCUGUUUGAGUCUAAGACAUCAUGUGAUGGAUUGGAACAAUGUUGAUACCAGGGAUUAGGAUGAAAUGGGACUGGAGAAACUAACCUGGCUAAUGUGUUUCCCAGAUGUUGAGGUAAACUGAUUGACGUGACAAGGCAGUUGGUUGGAGUUUAAGGUACAACAUUAAGAGAAAGGGAAAGCCAGACAAGGAGACCAAUGUAAAUAAACUAACAAAAGAGGAUGAUUAUGAUUUAAAAAUAAGUAGAACUUCUGGAUAUCACAUUUUCUGCCUCUUUUCCAUUAAUUAUCCUCUGAUGAAAGAGUUUAGGUUCAAGAGGUUGAGGUACAACUUUAAGUGUCUAAUACAGCACCAUUCCUGACUUCCAUUCUUUUCUGGAAAAUAGGGAAAUAUUCUAACAAUAGUCAAUGUCUUACAUUCUUUUAGAAAAAAUGACAAGAAACAAAAUAUUUUUGCACUAGAGAAAUGAAAAAUGGUGGGGAAAAAAGAUCAUAAUACAGCCACACAUCCCAAAUUUUAACAGAGGAGUCAGUUAUUCAGAAUGGGAGUUUAUUUAGGAACUUGAGUAGAUCCAGAGCAAAGUACUUAAACCUGAAUCUUUAGAAAUAACUUGGAGAAAAAAAACGAAUGUUAGAGAACAUGUUUUUGAAGAAUCUAUGUUUGUGAAAAAUGAUCUAGUGGCUUAUAUUCAAAAAAUUCAAAAAAUAUUAGAGCGUCUAUAGGAUCUGUUAGCUAUAGGAUGCUCUUUCUCUUUUUCCCCUUGGAUUUCAGAGCUUUUUAGUACAUCAUUUUCCUACAAUGUCUGGGACCUACUUCUGUCUCCUUUUUUAGGCAAUAUACACACUGAACUUAAUCACAGGUCUAUAAUAAAGUAGAAAGUCAUAUGAAAAGAAGAAAAUAUGAUGACUAUCUUUGAAGCAUUGUACAUAAAAGACUAUAUAACUCUGAGAUAUAGAUGACCUUGGUAUUAGAAUAAUUUUUUUUAAAAAGACCCCCACUAACUGUUGAAGUGGAGAUUGGUCUCUCUGUAAAUACAUUUCAAUAAUCUGUGCUAAGUCUCCCAUUAAAACGUUGGUAUGUAUUCAUCAUUUAACUGUGAAAGAUUACAGAGAACUGCAAGAUAAAUCAAAUGUCACAGUGAUCUUAGUCAAUUUGUAAAGCAAUAGUUUAUUGUCUCUUGUAAAGAAACUCUGUACAAGCCAAUGAUUUUGUAUGUGAUCCUAAGAUUUUAACAUUAUGCAAGGAGUAGUUACAAAGCUGUAUUUCUAAAUGAAGCAGCCUAUAACUGAUAGAAAUAUAAAUGGAGGAAUAUAUGUUUUUUUUAAAAGACAUUUACUGUUUCAAACUUUUGCAGAGGUUAUUAUCCCAAGCUUAUGGUAUGUACUUUUAGAAGAAUCAGAGGGAAAAAAUAAAUUUUCCUAGGUAAUCAUUCUUGUUUGAAUUCCACGAUUUCAAAUGCUUUUUACAUUCAAGGGUAAAUGUUCAUAGUUAUACAAUUUUCUAGUUAGCGUGGGGAAAAAAAAUCAUGAUUUAGGCAAAGUAUAAUAGUUCAGUAGUCAAGAGAAUGUGUUUAGUUAAGUGGGUGAAAUUACUAGUCCUUGUAGUUUUGUAGUUUCUAGUCUGAUUUAGGCUAUUAUAUUCAGCAGAAAAUGUAGACUAUUUUCCCCCAGGACUCAAGAAAAUAAUUUGAAUAUUUUUGUUUGUUGUUUAAAGAAAUUUGGUAUUUCCCCUUCAAAAAAUUUUUUUUUAAUCAGUCGAUCAUUCUCAUGUAUUUUAUCACUUAAAACAAGAAAAAAAUGUGAAAGGAAGCAUAGUUAUGUCUUCUUGCUUUUCAUUGCUUUUCGGUUCUCUUUUCCUCAUUCUCAUUCCUCUAUAUGGGUCCCAAGUUAUUUGAAGAUUUUAUGUGUGUAUGUAAUGCAAUGGAUAAAGUGCAUUUAUCAGAAUUUCGGGGGUGGGUGGAGAAGAUAAACUGGCCUUAUAGGAUAUUUCUAGUACAGAAACAGUAGAGGUAUCAUGAGAAGGGGAGGAUAGGAUGGAGGGGGGUUAGACCCACUGCAAUAGAUUGUGCACAGUAAGGAGGGACACAUAUCAUGAGUUUGGGCUCAAGAAGGGUAUGUAUAGAGGGAAGAUGGCAAACGUGCUUUAAUGACUGAUGAGACUAAUGAGUCAUGGAACACUACAUCAAAAACAAAUGAUGUACUCUGCAGUGGCUAACUGAACAUAAUUUAAAAAUUAAAAUAAAAAAUAAAUAGCAGUUUUACUGCUUAACCUGAAAAAAAAAAUAAUAAUGACUGAUGAGAUACUCCUGUCUCACUCAUGGACCAUCUAAGUUAGCUGAGCAUCACAAAAUGCUGAGUGUGUCUGAAAUUUCUGUGGAAAUCAGCAGGAAGGUGGAACAUCCAAGUCCUAUCUCACAUGGGGUAGAAGUAUGUAGAUGGCUCUGAACCAAGAAGUGAAACAGACUCAGAAAUUGGGGUCUCAAGCAAGAUUCAUUAAAUCUUGUUAGUUCAGGGAGGCCUCAGUUAACAUACAGAUUACGUGUGCAUGUGCUUUGUAAAGAAACACACUAAAAUACAAUACUGCAAAGGUCAUAAAAUAAUAGCAUUAUACCUAGAUAAUGCAUUUAUUUGUUACACAGGAUAUUUGACUGCUGUUUUGGGUUUUGGAGAAAGUGAUAAUAUGCUAUAAUAUAUGAUUCAGGACAGUAUUUAGAAAACAACAACAACAACUUUGCCAGAAUCUGAACUUUCUCUGUAGAGAGAUUACUGAGCUCUUGCUUCUUCUUUGGUAUUUUUGGAACUCCGUGAACUGUGUAGUUAGUUCAUUAUGUGCCAAGCUAGGGGGAAAGUUCAGUCACUGCUGAAUGUGUGUGUUUCAGCCUUCAGACCAACAGAUUUAAAAAGUAGAAAGUAUAUAUAAUAAAAUAACUCAGCCAAACCUCAAGUGAAAAGCAACUUCGGUCAUUUUUGAGCCUUUAGGUUUGGUUGUUUAGAAGUGGUUUCUAAAGUUUAUUUUACCAAGUACUCUUUCAAUAUUUUAAGCUUUCUGAACUUACUUUCAUAUUCCUUUAUACACUUUUAACCUUGUCAUUAAUCUUUUUAUUGAGUUUUAUGGCCUAUGUUGAAAAGGGUGUGGCAGGUAAAGGGUACCUUUGGAACCUUGGAAGACCCUCAGCUUCCUUCAGGAACAUUUGCCCGUAUCAGCCACUGAGGAGAUCAAAACUAAAAAUGAGCUUUCUUUUUUUCUUGCCCUUGAUUGAGCCAUGGUAAAAUUUUAUCCAAAAGUGACAGCAAUAAAUGUUAAAGAUUUACAUAUUGAAAAUGUGAUAGAUUAAAUUGGACAAGUACCCAGAUUGUCAAAGACAACAGACUUCUUAGCCACAAUGUCAAUGCCUCAAUAUGUUAGAGUUCUGAAAACAAAUGGUUUCUCUUAACACACAUCUAAUCUGAUUCACUUCUGCACAUUUUAGUGUUUCCAAUUAUGAGAACAAUAGGCUGCAUCUGAGAACAUCAAACAUCUAAAAACUGAAUAAUAUGGUUGCUAAUUUUGCUUAAAGUGCAAAGAUAUAAUUUGAAUGGGUAUUCGCCCUCUCCCAACUCCAUGGUUGACUUUACUAAGUAAGUUAUUUUUGACUGUGUUAUUAAACAUUCUCAUAGAUACAAAAAUAUGUUUAUCACUGGGUAUUAUUUAGGAGGGUGCUACACAAAUGCAUUCUUUUUUCUUUUUACACUAUAUGAUGUGUCAUAAUUUCUGUCAUCACAUUUAUGCUUAAAAUAACUACAUCUCUACAACACUGCACUCUAUUUGGAAAUAUAUACAAUUACUUUGAUUUGUUGUAUUUAUCUAAAAUACACAUUUUUAUUAACAAUGCAUACUCAAUUAGUAACCAUACCUCUUUGAGAAGAAUGUAUUUUUUUUAAGAUUUUAUUUAUUUGAGAGAGAGAGAGAGCACAAGUGGGGAGGUGGGGGGCAAAGGAAGAGGGAGAAGAAGACUCCCCACUGAGCAGGGAGCCUGACACCCAGCUCUAUCCCAGGACCCUGAGAUCAUGACCUGAGCAGAAGGCAGACACAUAACUGACUGAGCCACCCAGGUGCCCAGAGAAGAAUGUAUUUUAAGGUUAAACUGAAUUAUAAUGUAGAACUUAUAUGACAGGUAUUUAAAGUCAAUCACAGGGACAGGUGGUAAUACAAGAAAGAAGAAAAUGACACUUUAUUAAAAGGGAAUCAUCGAUGAUAAGUAAUUGCAGAUUUUUUCAUAAUACGAAAAGGAGAUUGUAUGUAUGUGAUUAUAUGUAAUACAAAUUAUACAAGAUUAGGAAUACUGAGGCCUAGAUUCUAGUUUUAAUUUGACUAUUCCAGUCCCUUAAACUUCACGGUCUUUCUUUUUCUCUUAUCUAAAUGAAAAUAUCAAUAACUGUCCUUUCUCAACAGGGUUAUUGUGAGAUCAAAUGGGAAAAAAAGACCUUUAUUUUUAUAAUAUAGAAUUCAAGAUACACAAUUUCAAAUAUAUGAUCAAAUCAAAAUACUUUUUAGCAUUCAACUAUGAGACAAAAUACAGCAUACUUUGUCUCCUUAGUUGGACUUAGCAUAUUUCUUUAGUUAUUGUGGUUAUAAAUAUUUAAAAUGUUUACUAUGUCUAAGCGCAAUCAAAGCCAAUUCGAGGACAUUAUACUUGUGAGACAUGGAACAGAAGUAGUGGCAUAGACAAAAAUUCAGACACUUAAGAAUGAUAUCAGAUCUUCUGUGUUGUUAAUUACUAUAUAAAUACAUACCAGGAUGUAUCUCCUUCAUUUCAGAUGUCUCCACUACAUUAGUAUUAUAAACUUAGUGUUCAUGUCAAUACUUUCAUAUUAACUACAAAAUUAUUUCUUUUUAAAUCUAGAGGCCAUCUCAGGAAUUAUCUCUGACUUUAAAUGGUGUAAGGGGAAAACAAUGUCAGGAGACAUCUUUCUAAAACAUUUUAUUUUAUAAUGUAUAAAUCUGUAAUCUUUAAAAUAUGUAGAGAGACUUCUUUAGACAAAGAAUAUUAAUCUAUAUUUCUGUCCCCCAAACUACAUUUUUUUUAAAAGAUUUUAUUUAUUUGAGAGAGAGAGAAUGAGAUCGAGAGAGCAUGAGAGGUUAAGGGUCAGAGGGAGAAGCAGACUCCCCGCCAAGCAGGGAGCCCGAUGCGGGACUCGAUCCCGGGACUCCAGGAUCAUGACCUGAGCCGAAGGCAGUCGCUUAACCAACUGAGGCACCCAGGCGCCCUUCCCCCAAACUGCAUUCUUUAUAUAGACUAUUUACUAUUGUUAAACUAAAAUCAAAAAUAGUCUUUGGGAUGUCUAAGAUAACAUAAAAAUUCAAUAUUUAUAAAGCCUCUAUACUAGACUGUGUUAAAUGUUUCAACAUUGCUUUAGAGAGAUGUUUGGAGUCUUUUAAGAGUCUUUACCAUGAUAUGCACCUGCAGGUUGGUAUCUAGUCUCAAUUACUCUGUAUACUCAGGGCAAGAAGUGCUUUCAAUUCAUAGAAAAAUCCAUGUUAUAAUUAACUCUAAGAACCAUAAAAUCUGUAACCAGCAUCUCAAAACUGGUUUGGCGGAUUGAAGGUAAUAUUCUUUAACCUUUGCCUUAGGCUACUGUAUUUUUUAAUGCUGUAAUUUGUUAGACAUACUACCAAAGCUUUGAUUUGGGAAUUUUUUUCAUCUAUUUAAUCUUGGUUUAGGGAGUUGAAUCAUCAAUUUAAUCUUUUUACUUUAUUCUGAAUUUAGUGCUUACUGAAGGUAAAGCCUCAGUGAGAGGUGUUCAGUGGGUCACUCUUCUCAACUUAUUGACAUUUGUUUUCUCAACCUAUUUCUGGUAUACCAAAUUGAAAUAAUUGUUUUGGAUGCUAUGUACAAAUUGGUAAGCUCAAUCUGUUUCAACAUUUAAUAAGUCUUUUCAUUUAAAACUUCAUCAACAUGUUAAAUAAGGAUUCCAUGUGAAAAUAUGUAAACUUCCUUGAUAAAUCAUGCCUUAAAUUUUGGAUCUGCUCUAUAAAAUUACAUAGCUACAUUAAAAUAGAAAUCUUUUCAUUGGAUCAUUUAACUAUCUAGUAACUAUGUGUAAGCUAAGCACUGAGAAGCUGCAAAUAUAUGUCAUAGUUUAAUUAACAUAACCUAUUAGUGAUUUUACACAUACAUGUACACAUUUAAAGAUCUUAGUGGUCAGUGGUGGAAUGAGAGAAAAACUAACUAAUAUCUGUUACCUAGAACUAUCCUAAUUCCUUUCUUAUUGGUCUUGUUAUAAUAGUGACUCAGUGAGAUUUUUAAAUGUUUAUAUAAAUUCAACCAUAUUAUUCAGCAUUGAGGACUAGACUACAUGCUGGUUACUUUUUAGCACAAAGCUGACUUCAUCAAUUUUAAAUACAUUAACUAACUCAUAGAAUUCUGAAUCCUUGCUCACCAAGCAACUUCUAAUGGUCACUUGCCAUGGGUAACCUUGUGAAUGCAAGUGGCCCUUAAGACUUAAUUUCUGGGGCGCCUGGGUGGCUCAGAUGGUUAAGCAUCUGCCUUCGGUUCAGGUCAUGAUCUCAGGGUCCUGGGAUCGAGUCCCGCAUCGGGCUCCCUGCUCCUUGGGAGCCUGUUUCUCCCUCUGCCUUUCUCUCUUGCUCUGUCUCUCAUGAAUAAAAAAAAUAAAUAAAUAAUAAUAAUCUUUAAAAAAAAGACUUAAUUUCUGACUGUACAUACAUGCUCAGCUGAGCCUUUUUUCAUAAAUACCUGGACAUAUGAACACAUACUGCAUAUACAGUAUAUGUUUAUUGCACAAAUGCCAACUGAGAAGCGCUUUGCCAGAUGUUAGAAAUAAAAUAAACUCACAAGAGUAAAAAAAAAUGACUAUGUGCCAAGCUAUAAUUAAUUAAUUUGCUGACUGGUCUUUGCUGUUAGCAUCUUCAACAGGGGAUGCAUUCGCCAGUGAUUAAUUAUCCCUCUAUUUGAAUUACUUUGAAUGGAUAAUGUUGAGUAUGCUCUGGGCUCAGUGGAAUCUUACCAAAAAACACAGCUGCUCUCUAAAGGCUCAAGGGAGACAACGGAAACUAAAAAAUCAAUAUGUCACCAGCAGGGUUGUUGUCAUAGAUGCUUAGCACAGCAGGUUUAUAUAAACUAAUGGCUCACUAGGACCGCAGAGGCAGAAUCAUUGAGGCAGCAAGGCACGCAGAUACGUAAAUGUGGGAUUUUGGGCGGUGUUGCGGGGGCGGUGUGGCUGAGGUUAUAGGUGCCUAUGCUGGGAUGUAGUACUGAAAACAGAUUUCAAACUUAACAAAUUUAUGUGGGUAUAACAAUUACUUUGAAGUGACUCAUGUAUUUAAAACUCAUUAUCAAAAAGCUGUUACAUUUUUUACUUUAUUGGAAUUUAUAUGAAUUCAUCAAUGGACAGGUUUUUGUUUUUUUUUUUUUUGAAGAAGGCAAAAAUUAUUCUUUACACAACGACCUAGGGAUUAAAGAGAGAAAAAUGAGAAGAGCUAUGUUCCUAAUGUCUGAAACCAUAAAAAGAAACUAUAUUUACAUUUCAGACAUUGGGUAGUAUUCUGCUUAAGAACUAAACUAUAGGGGAAAAUUCCAAGUUGCAAAAUAUUCAACAAGUUAAAAAAUUUAAACAUAAAGAAACAUCUUCCUUCUCUCAUUCUAAAGAGAAAUGUUGUCACAAAACUGUAAUCUUGUGAAAGUUUGCAACAGAAAUGACUUCAUAAGAAGAAUGACUUCAACUCAACAGUAAAACAUUUUACUUGUAUCUGUGGGAACCAAAGAUUUCCUUAGAAUCCUUUUUUUUUUUUUUUAAUUUUAAAGGACAUGUAAUCUAUUUUUUUGUAAUUCAUACACUAGCCUUAAUGUUUAUUAUUCUUCAGGUCUUUACACAGUUUUCCUCAACAGUCAACAUAUUAUUACAACCUGGCUUGUGAUGUGUCAUCACAAUCUUGUGACCUUUAGGCAGAAAUUUAUGAUGUACAUCAAAGCAGUAAUAAACACAUGAAGAAAUUCUACAAAGAAACAGUCACUUCAGUAUUUCUGCUGAACAUGUGGCAGCAGCUUCUAUCUCAGUCGCCUUGCACCAGCUUCCACGAACAACAGUGCCGCAGUUUGAGAGUGCACGGCUUCUGUUCUCGGCGUCCACGUUUACUGCAAGUUGGAAGUUUCCCUCUGCCUGGUCCUUCUGUUUACACUGCUGGAAGGUAUUUGCUGCUCGUCUUCACUCUGGAAUUGCCCAUACAGCAGUCUGUGGAACAUGGGUUUCGUUCAUUUCUUUGCCAAAUUGGAACAUAGUGGUAUUUUUAAGAUCAGAUAGUCUCACAGCCUAUCCCAUGUUUAAAAAGUUAGUUAAGGGGGCCUCAAACUUUUGUAGCAAUUAGAUAGAGGCUAGUUAGGUGGUUAAAAGUCUUCUAUGAUGGAGUCAAAAAACUUUACCUUGAUUCUUUCCUUAAUAGCCUUUUGAUCUUGGACCAAUCUCCACUUUCUACUUGUAAAAUGUAGAAAUUCAAAGGGAUCCUUCUAUCUAAAAUAUUUUCUUAAUAUUUUCAGAGAAAUGGGUUUAUUCAUAUAUGAAACUUUACUGAGAUAUGUUCAUAUAUAAAAUCAGGGAUACAUUUCUUUUGCCUAGAACUUUUUUAUGACUGUAAAGUCAAGGAAACUUACUAAUAGAUUAAUUAAGAAGUAUUAAAAUUCAGUUGAAGAGGGCAGUUUAACAUAGCAGAUGUUGUUUUUUUACUGAAAUGGAAUUUCUGCUCACAAAGUGGCCAUGAUACUGACUUUAACCCAGACUAGGGUACAACCUCUUGCAUUUACCACAGUGCCUCACACUUAGUGUGGAUUCUGGAAACAUUUCUUGUAGGAAAUCAUGACUACCAAGUGAAAAUGAAAGAUGAGUGAUGAUUCUUGCAAAUUAUGGUUAAUUGAUGGUAUGAAUUCAUUUGUAAUGACAUCUUUGGUCUUUUCCUCAUGAUUUAAGGGUAUGCUUUAAUACUAUGAAGGACCACAGAGAAGUGAAUCACUGUAAAGCUGCUUCUGAAGCAUAUCUUAGGGCAAAUUGUAAGCCUUUAUUUGUGUCCGGGGGUGGGGGUGGUGGGGAGAACAGCAAGAAGCAUGCAUGAGUCAUAGGACAAAAAGACAAAAUGUCACUCCAAGGAGAGGGUGAGAGACCUUAUGUCUGAGUGUGCAAAGACUACUAGAGAAAUGAACAGCCUGUUCUCAAAAGUUCAUGUAAUGAGAGUAAAACCCAAUUUUUCCUUUAGAAGUUUAUUCUACUGGAUUAUACAAUUUUAUUUGAAAGUCCAAAUGAGCUGCCUCUGAUUCAGUUUGAAACUAUCCCAGAUCAGGCAGAGUCCAGACACAGACCUGCCUGGGCCUAGUUCUGCUCUUUGUGAUUUGGAACAAGAGGGCCUUAGUGCUAAGGUGUGUGCUUCUGCCCUCUGAGAUUUGGAACCAAAUCUAAAUUCUGUGUAUGCUGUAAUGUGCUUAGGCAGACUCAACCUGUCUUUUAAUUUUGGAAAAAGGCUGUUGAUUUGUUAGAUUUAACAUUUCCUAAUUUGUACAUUUUGUAUUGAUUGCUAACUAUGAAAAGCAUUACAUAUAGGGAGGGCUGUGGCAUAUCAGCAAACAUUUGAGAGAAAAUAUAUAGAGUAUUAUAAUAGUAAAAUGUGAAAGAAGUCAUUUAAACUAACUUACCUGAUGGAAGAGAACUUCUAGUUUUCUCAGAGUCUGAUAUGGAAUGUCACGCCGUGGGAUCCUCAUUCUUUUAAUCUAUUCCUUCUGCUUUAUACAUGAGUUUAGGUGAAUGCCACUUUCUAAUAGGAGCCUCCUCUUCAGGACCUUUUCUUUUUUUAAAUUUUCAUAUGUGCAUAUCCAUUUUUUUAUGUGGAAACUCUCCAAAUGAAACAUUUAUGUAUAAAAAUUUUCCAGAUAACUCUGAGACUUCUAUUGGAUGUCCUUACUGUAUUACAGGACUUAUACACACAAAAAAGGAACAAAGAAUAUAUCCAAUUAAAACAAGGAAAGAACUCUUGAACUCAGCCAUGCAUACAAGAAAAAUAAAUUGUUUGAAGUGAGACAUGAGGUAAUCGUGGCUCCUCAAGGGGGAAGCCAAUACUAAUCUGGCUUCUAAUGUGCCUGUUGGAGAUGAAAUGUUUCAUUGACAUUAGUACCUAACAAGUCACCAAAUGUUCAGUGAAUGCCCUUCUAUGAGUCAGGAGCUCUACUAGUGGCUUGUUUUUUAUAUGAUUUCAUUCUAGCCAAUAUGUAAAUUAUAUGAGGCAUAGUUGACAUGUAAAAUAUCAGGAAAAAAUGCAUUUUCUAAAAAUUCCAGAGUGUACUUUGAGGUUUCACUCAAUGCUCUACAGUGAUUCAAAGCUCUUGCAACAAUCCAGCCUCUGAGAAACUAAGACUGCCAGAAGGUGUAUUGCAUUUCAGGCCAAUAACGUACCUCCCAGGAAAUAAGGACUGUGUUCAUAGAUAGGAUUAACACAUCUCAUUUUACAAAUCGAGGUUAUUUGAGUCUUGUAGGGGGACAUUUUAGUGGUCUAAUCCAUACAGUAUUGAAUCAUAGCAUUUGGGGAACUAGGUGUAGUAAUCUAUACUGUCAGUUAUAAUGACUAAAGUCCACUGUGAUUGAGGUUCCUUUUCAUAUGAUAAUUGUAAAUUUUGAACUGCAUACAUGACACUUAAAAGAACCCAGGCCCUUCUUGUGUGCCUACAUGUUUCUAUAUGCUACUCUUUUUCCUCUUACUGAUAUAUUUAUGUCUUACUUAAAUAUAGUGCAUUCCAAAAUAUUUAUUAUUAGAUUAAAUCAACAGAAUCACAUGGGUACUUUAUUUCAUGAUUUUUCCCUCAUAAAUGAUAUUUGCAUCCCUAUAUGGAUGAAUUUCCUCAGCCUUUUAUGAUUUUCAGCAAGCCUUCUUUGUCACUACAAACUUUAUUGGUUUGACAUUUUCCCCUCACACUGUCAUCAUGUUAGUGCGCUGGCUGAUUAGAGGUUUUCAGCCUUAGUCAUUGGUUAUCUGAACAAGGAACAGUAUGAAUCUAAUUCCCUAACCUUAUUUCAACUCAUUGCUGCUGGUGCUGUGAAGCCAAUUGUAAAUGCAGAUAAUAGUUUCCAUGAUUACUAAGAUAAACACCACAUGUUGGAGAGGUUUGAUUUUUCCAUACUACAAAAGAUAAGCUCUGGGAAGAAUGUAGCAAUUGUAGCAUUCAGUUUCCUAAUCAAUUACAUAUGCAAAACUCUUUCAGUGGUGCCAAAACUUGUCUAUUAUUUCUUAUAAGCACUGUAUAAAACUCAGAGUGUGCUUAGAGGAAGUAUCAGCCUACUUUCUUAGAAGCUGGUGUUGUUAUGUUUGUGGUAAAAAAAAAAAAAAAAAAAGGCUUCAUCGUAAACCACAGCAUAAAGCAUAUCUUACAGGUUGUUUCUGAAUAUAAAAAAUGAUACAAAAGUAGCUAAGAAACUAUAGAUAGAGCAAUAGUUAAGUUUCCUUUGGAAGAAAAAUCAUGUUAGUCUUGUUGACUUCUUGGGUAAAAUAAUUGAUAAACUUGAGUGAGUGAGUGUGUGUGUCUCCUUCCCCAGGAGACAAGAAUAACACUCAGGAAUGAAAUUUUUGGUAGAAGAUCAUUCUUUUUUUUUUUUUUUUUUAAGAUUUUAUUUAUUUAUUUGACACACAGAGAGAGCGAAAGAUAGUGAGAAAGAAAGCACAAGCAGGAGGAGCGGAGGCAGAGGGAGAAGCAGACUCCCCGCCAAGCAAGGAGCCCGAUGUGGGACUUGAUCCCAGGACCCUGGGAUCAUGACCUGAGCCCAAGGCAGACAUUUAACUGACUGAGCCACCCAGGCACCCCUAGAAGAUCAUUCUUUAUCAGAAACACCAUUGUAGAUCCUAGCAAUCAAAUUAACUUUAGCUAUUUGUCAUCAAAGUUAUAAUUCCAUAACAAUGAUUAUUAUUGAAUAUUUACAAUGCAAGAGACUCCCCUAAAGGACAAGCUGAUUUAUUUCUUGUUGUAGUAUGAUCUACUUUUGGAUAAGGGCAUUAUUUAUAAGUGCAGGUAAGAGUGAACAUUUCAAUUGCAUUUCUCCCCCAAAUACACUAAAGGACACAGAUCUUUGGGAAGAUUUCCGUAAAUUAUGUAACAUGUAUUUCUAAGAUAAGCAGCCAGUAUGAUUUUUAAACAUAAUAAAUCACAAUGUCAUUCAAAUUCAUUUAUUCAUGGAACAAAUAGUUAUUAGUGCUUAUUAUGUGCCAGAUACUAUUCUAAGUGCUCAGAAUAUCAUUGAAAAGCACAAAUGCCCCAACCAUAGUGGACCUUAUAUCCUUGUGGAAGGAGACAUAAAAAAAAAACAACCACUAAAUAUGACAAAUAAUCAGUGUCUUAGACUGUGAUAAGUAUUAUGGAAAAGAAGACAUAGAGUAGGAUAAUGGUGUUCUACAGGGCUGAAGGCAGGGCAGACUGUGGUAUUAUGUGACAACCAGCGUAGGCCUUCUUGAGCCUGAGUCUGAGCAGAGAUUUGAAGGAGAUGAGCGAUAAUCAAGGGGAUAUCUAUGGGAAGAGCAUUCCAGAUGGAGCAAAGAACCAAAGCAAAGGGCCAAAGCUGUGAGGGAGCAUUCCUGGCAUAUUCCAGAAAGAAGGACAGUGUGGCUGAAGCAGAGUGAGUGAGAGAGCAGCAGGGGAUAAAGUCAAAAUGGUAUUGGUCUGAACGCAGGGUUGGUGCAGAUCUUAGCACAGUACCAUGAUGAGCCUACUAUAAAGAGAAGAAUGGGAUGUUCUGUAAAUUGGAUAGAGAAGCCUUAUUGACUUUUGACUCAAGGUCAUCCUGGAUUCGGUUUGGCUAUGUGUCCAAACUCAUUUUAUAUAGCAGUUAACCUCUUUGUGGUUUGUCUCCUUUAUUCUUAUUCCACAUUUGUGUUUUACAUUAUGGCUUUAGCUCAAAAAAAGAAAAAGUAAAAGAAAACUAUAUAUACAAAGAGAAGAGUUCAUAGCAUAAGCCAAGGUAUGGAGUAGCUAAAAUUCCAUGCAUAAUUUAAUGAAUGGCCUGGAAAGUGUUUUCACAAAGUGUUACAUGUGUUUGGAUUUUUUGCUUCUUUGCCUCCCCUUUCUUGAGCAGCAUCUUGAGAGCACAAUCAGGUGCCUGCAAUCUUACUGCCUCCACAUCUCUCUCUGCCUCUGGCCCUCCUGACUGAAAAGAACCAAGUGUCCCUCUUUCUGAUUCCCUGUGCUCUGGAAUUCCAUGUACUUUGUCUGUGAAGGGACUGGAAGUGUUCCAUCACUUACUGUCCCUGUCCUGUAUCUCCAACAAGUCCUGCUUAAAUGACCAUUUCCAUUAAUGCAUUCUGCUCAGAGGUCUCUCAUCAUUAAAAAAAUCGCUUUCUAAGUCCAGUUUGUUUGUUUGUUUGCUUUUGUUUUUGCACUAUUUAUCUGCUUCUCUUGUUCAGUACCAGGUUCUUUGGAUGCAUUUCUGUACUUGCUGUUUGCAUGUUGUCCCUUCCCUGUUAGGCUCUGAAGUUGGGAUUCUUCCCCAUAACUUCACUGAAGGGUCACCAGUCUCUAUUGCUACUUUAGGCUACUUUUCACUUAUCUGAUUUGAUCUCUUUAUAACAUUUGACACUUUGGGCUACUUUUCUCCUUGAAAAUAUUCUUUAAUGACACUAUUCUUUCAAGUCAUUUCCCACCUCCAUGGUAAUUUCUUUCUAAUCAUUUCAAAUCCUUCCUUUUGUGCCUACUCUAUAAACAUCAGUGUCCCUGAGGUCACACUCCAUACUCUAGGCAAUCUCAUUCCCUGGCAAGGCUUCCUCUCACCAUCUUCAUGCUACAAUCCUUUCCAGAUAUAUCUCCAGUUGAGGUUUCCCUUGAACCCAAGGCUCUUAUAGACAACUGUAUACCAGACACUUACGUGAACAUCCACAUCCAAUAGGUGCUCUGCAACUCAAGACGUCUAACUCUGAACACCGAUUCCUCCCCCCAAAUUCCUUUCUCUUCCUUCUGUACCUAGUAAAUGACAACCUAUAUAUCCCAGGGCCCGAGCUAGGAACCUGAGUACCAUUUUUAUUAUUAUUGUUAUAAUUAUUAUUAUUAUUAUUAUUAUUAUCAUCAUCAUCAUUAUUAGAGCAGUUUUAGGUUUACAGCAAAAUUGAGAGUAAGGUACAGAUUUCCCCAUAAACCUUCUACUCUGACACAUACACAGCCUCCAUUAUCAAUCUCCCCCACCAGAGUGGUACAUUUGUACAAUUGACAACCCUACAUUGGCACAUCAUAAUCACCCAAACUCCGUAGUUUAUGUCAAGGUUCACUCUUGAUAUUGUACAUUCUAAGAGUUCAUACAAAUAUAUAAUGACAUGUACCCGUUACCAUAGUGUCAUAUGGAAAAUUUGCCGUCAUGGGCACCAUUGUUGAUUCAUUUUUCACUCCCUGCAUUCCUCCCAUAUAAUCAAUUACCUUGUCCUUUAUAGCUUACAGCAUAAAAUUCCCUAAAUUACUUCAGUGUUUCAAUGUCAAUUUUUGUGAAAUUAUAUUCAUUUUUAUUCUAUAGAACUUGAAGGAAAUAUAAUAAAUUCCAUUGUGAAAAUAAAAUUCACAUUAAUGGAAGAGGCUGUAAUCAUAAAAGGUAAUUAAAUUUGAAUGAAGUUAUAAAUUUUAAACUUGUCAUUACAGAACUCUAACCAAAAGUGUGAUUUAGGUUGAAAGAAAUAAUUUCACCCUGAGUGGGAAUUUAGUACAUAGGAUCCAUUGAGAGGAAUUUUGCCUUCUUUCAGUCAUAUUGCUUCUAACUAUACUACAUCAAAUCUCACACAUCAUAAAUUAUCUCUUACAUUUUGCAAAGUUUGCAGAAAAGUUAAUUUGGGAAAAUCUUUUUAAAGUACAAAAUACUCCAUUAUAAUCAAUUAUCAAUACAGAACAAAAGACUAGAUAGGAAAAUACAUACUUAAAUUAUAUAUUUACUAAAACUUUUUAAGAAAAGAGGAAAUUGGGGGCGCCUGGGUGGCUCAGUUGAUUAAGCGACUGCCUUCGGCUCAGGUCAUGAUCCUGGAGUCCCGGGAUCGAGUCCCGCAUCGGGCUCCCUGCUCGGCGGGGAGUCUGCUUCUCCCUCUGACCCUCCCCCCUCUCAUGCUCUCUGUCUCAUUCUCUCUCAAAUAAAUAAAAAUAAAAUCUUUAAAAAAAAAAAAAAGAAAAGAGGAAAUUGUUGGUGUGAAUAUAAUUUCUUUAUUUCCAUCCAUCAACUAGUAAGUAUAUUUAAGGAAAAAUGUAGUUAAAAUACUUUUUGAGGGGCGCCUGGGUGGCUCAGUUGGUUAAGCGACUGCCUUCGGCUCAGGUCAUGAUCCUGGAGUCCCGGGAUCGAGUCCCACAUCGGGCUCCCUGCUCGGCGGGGAGUCUGCUUCUCCCUCUGACCCUCCUCCCUCUCAUGCUCUCUGUCUCUCAUUGUCUCUCUCGCAAAUAAAUAAAAUCUUAAAAAAAAUAAAUAAAUAAAUAAAAUAAAAUACUUUUUGAAGUAUCAGUGGCUGUUAUCACCAAAUGGCAUGAAAACAUUGAGACAAGAUUAGGUGAUGGAGUAUAUGAUCAUUAAAAUCACACUUUAGAUUGAUAUUUACAGGGAUUUAAAAAAUAAUCCUUCAGUAUGGAAGAGAGUGUUCUGUUGAAGUUAAAGAACUUCAGCCUACAAAGAGCUUGGCAGUUGGAGGAGCAUGAGGCAAAACAUUCCAAAUUUGAAGACUUCAGUAGGGCAUGACUAACAAAUAUCAUAUCUUGGAAUACAUAAUAAAUUAGGAUACUUGUUAAAAAUAUAUGGUAACCGCUGUAAAGAAAGUUUGUAGUGUAAUUAAGAGGGGGACCUAUGCAUGUUUCUUGUGAUAUGUGCUCCAACAAAUUUUGUAACUAUGUAUUUUCAAUGUAUACUCACAGCCUUGCUAUGAUCUUUUGCCAAAACAACUCUAAUUGCUUCAGACUUUACAAGGUUGGCUCAGAAGCAAACUGUAGCAUGUCAGAAAAGUGAUCUUCAUCACUUAUAGCUAGCUAGUGGCCAUCUAACGUGACAGAUGGCGCCCUGCCCGUCCUCGGCAGCUUGUGGGACAAAGCUGAAUGUCAACACCACUGGGAUGUAAUUAUUGCAAUCUCUUGGGUCUAGUUUGGUGUGACCCUGAAGGCAGUUCCCCGGGAACUGCUGGGAGCAAUGCAAUGAUGGAAAGAGCAAAGAAAUGAGAGCUUUUGGAGACCAGCCGCAUUUUUGUUUUACUGACAAGUGCUUUCACACUGCUUUAUGAAUAAGCAUUUUGCAUGUGAUAAAUCACAUUGACAAAGAAAUUUAAAAAUUUGUGGGACUUUCAGUGUGGCCUCUUUUAAAUAUUAUCAAAUGGCUUUCAUUUAUGUUGCAGGAAGGGGCUUGUUAAUUAUCAAAAUGAUUUUUAAAAAUAUUUUUAACGAUUUAAAAGCAGUAUCAUUUUCACGUAGUUGUUUGCUAAAUAAUUUAAUAAUUCUCUCUUAUAUUUUGGGACAUAAAUCAUACAUUACCACCAAAACUCACUUAAUCUGAAACAACCCUAUACAGGUUAGAUAUUAUUAUUAGCCCCAAUUUAUAGAUGGGGUGAAUGAGGCACAAAGAGGUUAGUUAUGAUAGAAAACAAGCGGUAGAUCCAGGACGCCAGCCAAGUCAUCUGGUUCCAGAGUCGCUGUUCUUAAUCAUUUAACUUCUUCUAUGCAGCCUUCUAUAUUUCUUUACAAUACUCAACCCACCCGUGUAGGGUGGUAGCAGCUAUAAAGAUUAUGGAGCUUGAUACUGGAAACAGAUAUUGUGAGAAAAUCUGAAGUUCCAAAGUUAGUAAAAAAAUAAAUCAUUAAAGAAAUUAUUAAUGUAUAAAUUGACUAAUCAUAAAUUUCUCCCCAGAAAGGUGUCUUUUAAAUAAUGUAUAUUAUAUAUAUAGUAAUAUAUAGUAACAUAUAUUAAGCAAUUAGGUAAUAUAUAUAAUGCAUGAUAUAUAAAGUAUAUUAUAAUAAUAUAUAUAUUCCGUGGGUGCUGAAAAUUUUUUAGUAAAAAAUUGAUAUUGUGAAAGUAUUCUUCCAUAUGCCAUUUAGUGAGGAGGACUUUGUAAAAAUGUCAAAAUUUUUUUCUGAUUUAUGAAUAGCACCGACAUUUCUCUUACAUACAAGAACAAGCAUCUGGAAGCUAUGCUGCUAAUGAUAGUUAAUAAGAACUGAACAUGGUGUAUGUAUUAUCUCAUUUAAUCUUCAUAACAGCCCAUGGACGAGGUGCUAUUUAUUAUAACUACAUUUUACAGAUGAGGAGACUAAAAGAGAAGUUCAAUAACUUGCCCAUGGUCUUUUAAAUAAUACAUAGAACAAGGGAGUACCUGUGGUAUAAAAGCAGUUGCUUAUAAUGUACAUGUAAUUCUGGUCAUUUCUCAAAGUUCUGCCUAUCCUGAUCAGUCAACCACUGAACAAGAGAUCAUGGGAGCCUAGACAGCAUGAGGAAAGCACCUCAGGAAUUGUAAAUGCUGUAAACACCACGGCUAGUUGUUGUGAUUUUUCUCGGGGUUGAUAGGAGCAGUCAGUUCUAGGUAGUAGGAAAAGUGGAGAGGUAAGUUCAGGUCCUCAAGGAAUUUACAGUCUAAUUGAUAAGAAUGUUCUGAUUGUGAAGAGGUCUAAAACCAUGGAUUAUAAUGUCUUAGGGUAAACAAGGGUACUAUAAGAGCCUCAGGAGGUGAUUGUGUUAUGGGAAUAACUCCCACCCACAUCUCCACUCUGAGGAGGGGGCCUUGAGGUGGAUCUUGGAGGAAGAAAAGGUAAGGUGAGGUGUGAGUUGGGGGAAGGACAUUCUUGUUGGGAAAGGCAGGAGAAAAGACAAAGUUUGUGAUGCACUUGAGGGCUAGAGGAGGUGCAGUUGGUGAACAUUUCAGCAGGAGCUUCCACUCUUGCCCCCUACAAUCUGUUUUCCAGAGAACAACUGGUUAUCUUUUAAAAACAUAAAUGAGAGCAUUUAACGUACCAUAAUUCAGGGAUUUUCCAUCCCACUUGGAAGUAAAAGCCAAAUGCUACAAAGCCAGUGAGUCCUUUGUUAGAGGCCUUACGCAUACCACGUGCCUGUGGCAUGUGGAAGAUAACUUUAAUAAGUGAAACAGGCCUAGAUGAAUGGAAGCAGAGAGGGCUUCACUUUUGAGAGGGCAAUAAGGAGUGGUGGGGACUGUGGCUCCCUCUCAUGCAGUAGAGUGCUGCCCCACAUGGAAAUAGCCCUGCUAUUGCCUGGUGCUCUGGUCUAUUUAAAGAACCCAGAAAUACAAAUUUUUAUAUGAAAUUCCCAUUUAAAAAUAUUUGUCUCAAUAAGAAUAGUAAAAAAGGGCGCCUGGGUGGCUCAGUUGGUUAAGCGACUGCCUUCGGCUCAGGUCGUGAUCCUGGAGUCCCGGGAUCGAGUCCCACAUCAGGCUCCCUGCUCAGCAGGGACUCUGCUUCUCCCUCUGACCCUCCUCCCUCUCAUGCUCUCUGUCUCUCAUUCUCUCUCUCUCGCAAAUAAAUAAAAAAAUCUUAAAAAAAGAAUAAAAAAAAAAAGGCACCGUACAGACAGAAUACAUCUGUAAGACAGAUGUCCAGAUCAGAACCACAAGCCACUAGUUUAUGACCUCUGCCCUGUUCAGUCUGGCUGUGCCUUGCUCUGCAACCACAGUUCAUAGCACCCUUUCCCCUGCUCACCACAUUCUCACCGCAGUGACCUCCUUUCAGGUUCUCAAAUUUUUUUUUUUAGUUCUUCCCUACUCUGGGUUGUUUGUGUGUUUGGUUUUCUAUAUGCCUACGGUUGUUUCGGGCCCUUCUCAUUCUUCAAACCUCGACUCAGCUUUCACUUCCUCAGAGUGGUAUUUCCUGACCCCUAUCUAAAAUUCCUACCCCACUCCUUGACUUUUGUUUCUUUCCCUUAUACCAGUGGUUCUCAAAGUGUGGUCAAGGGACCCCUGAAGGCCCUAAGAUCCAUCAGGGGGGUCCACAAGGUCAAAAUUAGUUUUAUUAGAGAAUAAGAUGUAGCUUUCUUUUUUUUCAUUCAUUAUUUCAUGACUAUAGUGAAGUGUUCUAGAAAUUAUAUGACAUGUGGUAUUGCAGACUGAAUUCAGAAGAUAUGAAUAUUCAGGUCUCUUCUAUUAAGCCAGAUACUAGAAAGAUCUAAAAAAAAAAAAAAUGUAAAACAUUGCCACUCUAAUUUUUUGCUUUGAAAAUAUAGGUAUUUUCAUAAAAUCACAUCAUUUAUGUUUUUAUGGUUAUUUUUAAUAUGUUAAUGCAUAUUUAAACUUUUCCUCCAUUUUAACUUCUAUUGUAACAAUCACUAAACAUAAGACCAAAACAGGUUCUUUGAGGUACAUAAUCCUUUGUAAGUGUGCAAAGGGGUCUUGAGACCCAAAAUUUUGAGAGUUGCUUUUCAGAUAGGCGUCAAACACUGAAAUCACCUCUUAUUUACUUGUUUCUUUUACUAAAAUAAAAGCACUGUGUGAUGGGGCACCUGGGUGGCUCAGUUGGUUAAGCAACUGCCUUCGGCUCAGGUCAUGAUCCCAGGGUCCUGGGAUCGAGCCCCGCAUCGGGCUCCCUGCUUGGCGGGAAGCCUGCUUCUCCCUUUCCCACUCCCCCUGCUUGUGUUCCCUCUCUCACUGUCUCUCUCUCUCUCAAAUAAAUAAAUAAAAUCUUUAAAAAAAAAAAAACAAAGGGCGCCUGGGUGGCUCAGUUGGUUAAGCGACUGCCUUCGGCUCAGGUCAUGAUCCUGGAGUCCUGGAUCGAGUCCUGCAUCGGGCUCCCUGCUUGGCAGGGAGUCUGCUUCUCCCUCUGACCCUCCCCCCUCUCAUGUGCUCUCUCUCAUUCUCUCUCUCUCAAAUAAAUAAAUAAAAAACAACAACAACAAAAAAAACAAACAACACUGUGUGGGCAGAGACUUUGUCAUAUUCACCACUUUAACAUCCUUCAGCACCUGGAAUGGUACCUGAAGCAUUACAGACACUUAGUCAACAUGAGAACAGGUGAAUUAAUAUAUGAAGAAGAGGGGUUUGAAGGAGAGUUACUCUUAGGAUAGGUCUGAGCCAGCUCUGUAGGAAGCUUUGCGUACAAGGCAGCAUUGUAAAACUGAUCAUGCCGCUAAUGCAGAAAAAAUUAAGCUUUCCAAAUGGGAAAGUAACAGGAUAAAAGUUGGGUACUGGAAAAAUGAUCCUAUAGUGACAGUUAAAUUUGUCUUCCUUUUCCCAUCCAUCUUUACCAACUCUUCCACUGACUCCCCCCUUGGCUUUUUGGGGGGGCGGAAGUUUGUGAAACCUUUGUAUGUGUCUUACAGCUAUAAAUACAUUUGUGCUAAUGAAUGAGGUCACAUCAAUUUAAAUGGAACAUGGACAGAGAACACAAUUUAGUUCGUUAGUAAGGCAUGACAAAUUUACAGCCAGAAACUCAUGUUGACUUUUAUAGAGCAACAUAAAUUAAAGGUGGCCAGUAUUAAAGUCUGAACUCACUCAGGCAAAAAUACACAUAUCCCUCCAAGGCAAGCAGCUAAUAUAAAGCAAGGAGGUGUGGUAUCUGUGGUGUGAUCUGAAGGGCCCUAGGGGAGGUCUUUCUCUCUCCCACCCAGGGGCAUGAGUGUCUAAACUCUACCAUUAAAGAGACAUUCUUUAAAGUGUCUCUUUCUGCUGUGCUCUUUUAAAAUACAAAUCCCAAAGAGAACAUUAAGAAUUGGGGCUCGGGUACCAAACUCCUGUAUUUAAUUCUGACUUCAUGUUAUAUUAGCUACACGAGAAGUUGAACAUCUCUUUGCUUCAGUUUCUGUGUUUGUAAAAUAGAGAUUUCUAGAGUGUCUUUGUGAGAAUUAAAUAACACACGUAAAAAUAAUUAAAAUAGCCCCUGACCCACGGCGCGUCCUUUGGCAGCUUUAGUGUUUAUUGUUUCGGCAUAGUGGGUAGCAGAGCAGGCUGGGUGUCAAGGAGGUCUAGCUUUACAGCUACAUGGCCAAGAAACUCUUAAGUCAGUUAUCAUGUUGAAACUUCGGUUUCCCAAUCUAAAAAUAAAAGCCUUGCUUUAGUUCAAUUAAAAGGGAGAGAAUCUAUUUAACAAAUGCAUGUGCUGAGGGAAAGGAAUAAAUCAUGACUUCUAAAAAAUUAAUAAGAUCUUUAGUCUUUUUUUUUUUUUCCUAAGAUUUAUUUAUUCAUUGGAGAGAGCGAGAAUGAGAGAGAGUAUAUGAGAUGGGGGAGGGUCAGAGGGAGAAGCAGGCUCCUCGCCGAGCAGGGAGCCCGAUGCGGGACUCGAUCCCGGGACUCCAGGAUCAUGACUUGAGCCGAAGGCAGUUGCUUAACCAACGGAGCCACCCAGGCGCCCAGUCUCAGUCAGUUUCCAGUUGAAUGGGAAAAGAAAAUAUAAUAUAAACUCUGCAGAGAGCUUUAAUGGAAGCAUCUCCAGAGGUGCUAUGGAAUAAUGGAAGAGGAAGAUGACAGUUUUGAUUAGUGGCAUCAAACAAGACAUGGAAGGGAAAGGAGCUUUCUGGGUGGACUUUGGGCACAUUAGAAUGGCGUUGUCAUGCUACUCAGGUGGGGCAAGGUAAUUCCCAGUGGGAAAAGAAGGCACUGAUCGAGCCUGUUUCCAUACUGAGGAGUGCACAGUGCUUCAUACCCGAUAAGAGACGGUGCAGUAAUAACGUAGUCUGGGAGAAGCAGCUCAGAAACAGCAUGGAGAACACAGAACUCUCCAAGUUACAAGCUGGGCUUUGGCUCUGCAAGGAAGAGGGAAGAGGGAAAUUUCUGAGCGUGGGAGUUUUUGAUCAUCUGUUCUCUCUUCUGUAAGAAAGUCAUCUUUGGUGACAAGGUAAAGGAAGAAGUAGUGCAAAAAGAGAGUCAAGUUUGAGAAAGUAGCCAGAAAGGGAAGGAACCUCAAGUUGGAGUUACAGAUGAGGAGAUCUCAGGAUUAGAUCCCAUAGGACACAAGCCCUUUCUGAGUUGAGGUGGGGGAGGGGAGCGCUAAGGGGUCAGGGAUGAUACUGAGGUCUGAAUCCCAGAAACUGGAAAGAGGCUAUUAAGUGAAUAGUGCUUUACGGAAAAGGAAACACUGGUUUGGGGAAGAAACUAAUACAUCUAGCAAUAAAUUCUGUGACUUUUAAAUACCAACAGGAGGAAGACAUAUUAAUCAAAAUAUAUCGUGGCUCCUCUGAUUCACUUUCCUCCUGCCGUGGUGCCUGGCACGGAGAAUAUCAAUAAAUACAAAUCCAAUCCUGCUGGAAGGGCUCUGCUGUGGGAUCUGGAAAGGCAAAGAAGAAGAAUGUAGAAAUGGGAAUGAGAAAUGGCUGUGCAGAAAAACAUCACCUACUGCACAUUUUUACUUCUGUGAGAGCUUUUAUGUGGCUAUAAAUGUUAAAAGUUACACAGAAAUUCGUGCUUUUAACAUUUAAGAACUAAUCUAUAAACAAGUAGGUUUAUACAUCAAACGCUCUCUGUUGGUCUUGUAAUGAGAUGCUGAUUUUCUUUGCUGCUAGAAAACAUACUUUCAUUAACAUUUUGCUAGUUAAUUACAGUUUAUUAUGAACAUUAAAUCAUGUGAUUACCGACAGCAUUGCCAGAUCUGUGUGUGAGAGGGGGAGGGUGGCAUUCUAGUUCAUUCAUCUAAGUUACUAAAAAUUGCACUCAGUUGUAACACCAGGAUUUUAUAUGAAACCACUCAGACAUCAGCUGUAGGUUCCUGCAAUCUGCUUGCUGGGUGUGGAAUUUCCCCAGAUUAUCCAGAUUACAGUCACCUCGCUUCCCUCUAACCCAAAUAACAGAUUUUGACAUCAUCCUAUAAAUGUCAUGAAUAGUCUUUGCCUCCAGAAAAAGGAAAAUAUAUGGUCAUCAGCUGGUUACAAAUACAUGACUAAUGAAUACAGAUAUUAAUACUCAGUGUUUUAAAAUAUAAGGGAGGGAGCUAGGAAGGGAAGGAGUAUUUGCUGUUCCUGGUGCUGCCUCAAGUCUGUCAUUUGUUUUGUUUGUCUUCACUGGAAGAGAGAAGUGCAGUGUUUUCUAUUUCAGAAGUCCCAAAUUGCUGCCUGCAGGCCAGAUUGACCCACAGGCAUGUAUAGCUCAACCUACAUACGCAGUGUGAAGAAAAUGGAAUAGUUGUCAACGUUUUUUUUUUUUUUUUAAGAUUUUAUUUAUUUAUUUGACAGAGAGAGACACAGCGAGAGAGGGAACACCAGCAGGGGGAGGGGGAGAAGGAGAAGCAGGCUCCCCGCAGAGCAGGGAGCCCGAUGUGGGACUUGAUCCCAGGACCCUGGGAUCAUGACCUGAGCCGAAGGCAGUCGCUUAACCGACUGAGCCACCCAGGCGCCCUUUUUUUUUUUUUUUUUAAAGAGUUGUCAACGUUUUUAAAUUGCAAGAUUUCAUAAUAAAAAUUAAAAUAUCUGCUUCUCUUGCAAAACUGGAAAAUCUGCCUGUACAGAGACCAGAGUAGCUGAGAAAUAGCAACCCCCUUCAGACAGCGCCAUGCACUUCUCACUUCCCACUGCUCUUAUCAUGUCUUCCUGUUAUCCCAGCCCUGAGACCAAGGCUCAGUUCCUACUGACCAUCCGUUUGUAACAUCUCCUGGCCUGCUUCAUUCAUUUGCAUUACAUACUUAGUCUCUAGGGGAUGGAGUGCUUCCCUCUCAUGAUGUCUUCUACAGGGAGAAGGUUAACUUGUUUGUCUGUGUGUGUGUGUGUGUGUGUUUAUAUAUAUAUGUAAUAUAAUAUGUAAAGAAAUGAUAAAUAUACUCCUAACAUCAUAAUGCUACUUUGCGCCCUCAUUUUCCUCCUUGGUUUCAGCAUCACCACAUGACUCCUACCUGUACUAGCAAAAUUCACAAAAUUUCACAAAGCACCUGUGAUGAGACAAGGGAAACAUGGGGAGGUCAAUUGAUUCAACACGUAGACAAAAGUAAGAACAGGGCUAACUUCACAAAAUCAUUUUUAUUAGUGAUUUUCAUAUCGUUAUACUUGGAAAUAUUGCCACUUUUAUCAGGAGGUGGGUCCCAAUAUUUAAAAAUUGCCUUAUGUAUACACCAACAUAAAUGUAUCUUCUCUUUGUUUGACAAGAAAUACUUUAUUUAUUUCAAAAUAUUUUCCAAUAACCACUAAUCAGAAGGUAUUAUUAUGGAUUCCCAUAAUGGUAUGUUAAAUUGGUAAUUGGUUGUUUAUUUCAUGUAUUAACAAAUAAAUGCUUUCCAAAUAGGCAUUCCUCCAAUAGGCAUUCCAACAGGACUCCUUCCCUGGAAUUCUCUCACUUUUUUCUGCUUAUCUAAAACUUGCUCAUCUUUGUUGGUUCACAAGCUUCAUUGUUUCCACAAUUUCAGCCUCACAUUGCUCUCUGCAUUCUCUCUAAGCAUAUCUAGUUGGCAAAUAGGUCAGCUUUUAAGCUAUAUAAGCAUGAGAACUUACUUUUUUGCAAAAUGUAUAUUCUUGCUCAAUAUUUCUACCAUAGAAAUCUUAUGUUAGAAAUGCAGUGUCUACAAGUGCAAAUGAAGGUUCCAUAUAUUUUCAUGCUUCAUAUUUUGAGUAUUUAAAAUAAAAUUACUACUGAGUUGUAAAAAGCUCUAAGAAUGAGCUCCUUCAACACCAAGUUAAUAUUUGUUUCUUCAGAAUGCACAGAUAGUUUUCAGUAAAAACAAACACCUUCUCCAGCUGCCCCAGCACCUUGCAGGAGUGUUGAUUAUAAUUAUGCAUAGGCAUCAUGGAAUUUACUGAUAAACCACACUUUAACCGGGUGACAUGACUACUUCUUAAACAAACUGUGAAAAAUAAGAUGUAAAAAUAAUUGUUAGAAGAUUUCAUUCCAGAUCUUUUUUUAAACCAAGAAACUUCUUUUUUUAAUUAAUUAAUUUAUUUAUUAGAGAGAGAGAGAGUGAACGAGCACACAGAGGGAGAGAGGAAGAGGGAGAAGCAGACUCCCUGCUGAGCAGGGAUCCUGAUGUGGGGCUCAAUCCCAGGACCCUGGGAUCAUGACCUGAGCCAAAGGCAGAUGCUUAACCAACUGAGCCACCCCAGCACCCCCCAAGAAACUUCUUAAAGUGAGGUUUUCAUUGUGCAAAAGAAACUUGUUUUAAUUUUAAUUUUGACCAUAAUAUCAUAGACAAAACACUAAACUCCUCAGAAGACAGUCUUUCUUUAAUCUCGGGCCUGGAUAUCACCAUCUAGUUAUAUAAUCUUGACAAAUUACUUAAUUUGCUGAGAAUCAGUUUCCUUAUAUGUGAAUUGAAUCUAUGGUCUGCAUCAUAGAGUUUUAUGCAAAUUAUUGAGGAAAUAUAUCUGAAAACACUUUGGAAUCUUUAACCUGUAAUAAUAAUAUGUAAAUUAUUUCAUCCCAAUUGUUAGGUAAAUGUUAUUAAAAAGAUAAUUAGUACUGGGGCGCCUGGGUGGCUCAGUCGUUAAGCGUCUGCCUUCGGCUCAGGUCGUGAUCCCAGGGUCUUGGGAUCAAGCCCCACGUCGGGCUCCCUGCUCAGCAGUAAGCCUGCUUCUCUCUCUCCCACUCCCCCUGCUUGUGUUCCUGCUCUCGCUCUCUCUCUCUCUGUCAAAUAAAUAAAUAAAAUCUUUAAAAAAAAAAAAAAGAUAAUUAGUACUUAUUAUGCAAAACACAAAAUUAGGCAAUCCAGGGGAUAAAAAGAAUAGCAAAAUAUAAUACCUCCUCUUACUACAUUUAUAGUUGGGAAGUAUAAUGUGUGAAAUUAUCUCCUUACAGAUCAGGUAAAGUAAAAGCAGUAUAAACUAAGUGCUAUGGACAUUGAAAAGAGAGAGAUCAGAAAAAUCUGGAUGUUUGAUAGCAUCCUUAAAGAUAGAAAGAUGAACUUCAGGGAAAGAAUAUUCCAGAGAACAAAGAGAACAAAGCCAAGACAUGGAGAUAGAAUGAUUGGAAUAUGUUUGUGGCAUAUUAAGUAGACCACCAGGACAGCAUUCUGAUAUGUUUAGAGAUGUCAUGGAGGAUAUGGCCAGAGAGGUUAAUUAAGUAUUUUAGGGCCUAAGUGUAUGUAUAUUUAGCAUAUAUGGAAAUGCGGUCUUUUAAAAAAAUGUAUCUGUGUGUCUCUGUCUCUUUUAGAUAUCAUUUAAUUUCACACAUUAGUUUUCAGAGAGCUUAUGUGACCUGUUUAAGAUCACAAAGCUAAUUAAUAACAAAUUUAUAGAAACAUGAUGUAAGGAAGAUUUAUAUUAUCCCAGAGCAUAUGUAAAUGCUACGAAUGAUUAAGAUAGUAAAAAACAUUUAAGAAAUCAUUUCAAUAUUCAGAUGAUGAAAAGAAACAUUCAAUAUGUGAUGUCAGGUAGUAUCAAAUCCUACAGAAAGGGUUCAGUAAGAGCUGGGGAAACAUUAAGAGAAAAUGAAAGAUUUUGGGCGCCUGGGUGGCUCAGUUGGUUAAGUGCCUUCAGCUCAGGUCAUGAUCUCAGGGUCCUGAGAUGGAGUCCCACAUCAGACUCCCUGCUCAGCGGGGAGUCUGCUUCUCCCUCUCUCUCUAUCUCUCUCAAAUAAAUAAUCUGUUAAAAAAAGAGAGAAAGUGAAAGAUGUUGAUGGACAGCGUCUGGGAGAAUCACAGCACCUUUAACAGCAGAAAGUAGACAAGGCUCGUUUGAAGGAAAGAUAAUGAGUUCCUAUCAACAUAUGCUGAGUUGGGAUUAUAUCAAAGAUCAGGAAGAGAUGUUUAAUAGACAUUUGGGAAAGUGACAUUUUUGUAGCUCAGGAGAGAAGUAGAAUCUAGAGUGAUUGACUUAAGAACCAUCUACAUCUAUGUGAAUCUAAGGGAAUAAAAAUUAUUUUAUCUGAUAAUAUUUUGGAGUCUCUAAAGUGUUCGUGGGUUUUUUGGUAUGUCUUUAUUAUUAUUUAUUAAUCUCCUACAUUAUAUCCAGUCUUUCUUGAUAUUUUUCUCUAAUCACUGUAUGAUUGAAGAUUACCUUAGUAAUGGCUUAAUAACCCUGAAGCAUUAAGUUAAACAUUGAAUAAAAACUCCAUGGGGUGCCUGGGUGGCUCAGUUGGUUAAGCGACUGCCUUCGGCUCAGGUCAUGAUCCUGGAGUCCCGGGAUCGAGUCCUGCAUCGGGCUCCCUGCUCGGCAGGGAGUCUGCUUCUCCCUCUGACCCUCCCCCCUCUCAUGUGCUCGCUCUCUCUCUCUCAUCCUCUCUCUCAAAUAAAUAAAUAAAAUCUUAAAAAAAAAAAAAAACUCCAUGAGGAGAGAGACAUGGUGUUUAAUUCAAUAUUAUAUUCUUGGAGCCUAAUGAUUGGCAAAAAAUACACACUCAAGAAUAUUUUUGAAAGAAUGAAUGUAGCAAUUUAAUAAUAGUUAUAUUUUUUCAACUUUGAAAUCAUUUUUUAAAGGCUUUAACCCAUUUAAAUUUAUAGCUAUUUAAUUUGUAUGAACAGAGCUAGAUUCUGGCUUGAUAUAUAUUUGACUUGAUAGAUUGCCACAAAUACUUCUUACAAAAUUUGAUGUAGCCAUAAAAUGAAGUAACUUAUAAAGUUUGGGUAUUUCAUUGGAUAUUCAAAGUGGGCAUGUAAUAUUGAAAACCAGUGCAAGUAAAUAUGUGACAAGUUUAACUGAAAAUUACAUUUAUUACAUUAUUACAAAUGAUGACAGGAUUAUUUCUAAUGUGUUUAUAAUAAAUUUUCAGAACUAACUGAUAUGGAAGCAAUGCCUUUUAGAAACACUUGUUUUUCUUUUUAAGGGUAGACUUUUCUAUGGUUUAGGAAUAAUGGUUGGAUGCAUAGAUUUAAAAAUCAAAGUUUUGCUGAAUAUAGGAGAAAAACAACUUUUUAACGUGCCCUAUAUUUAAAAUCUGUUCUGUAGUGUUGUCAGGAAAAAAAAAAAAUGACAAAGUAAUGUUCUUAUUGGUAUGUUCCUUUUUUGUGUGUGUUUGGUCAACUGGAUAAAGAUCUUUGUUAAUUAGGUGAAAAUCCAUAUUACUUCUUCCCGUGUGCCUUUGACUUAACGUCACAUAUAAAGCUAUGUCAACAUUGCUGACACUAAAUAAACAAACUAUAAUUAAAGGAGAAAUGCAAAAGUAUGCUUCAAAGGUACCUAUGGAAGAAAAAGCACUCACCAAGCAGUGGGUCUCCCCAAACAGAAUUUUUUAAGCCCCACAGCAUCUGUCUUCAUGGUAUUCUAUGAAAAGAACCAAGCAGGCCACAAAGCUUUGUGUGAGUGGCCUCCUACUCACUGUUCAUCCCCUUUGAUCGAUUACACUUGCUAGUUCUGUUUCUGCCAUUGCUGAAAGAAUAAUGACUGUGGGCCCUUGACCUUUGCAGUUUUGGAUCUCCAACCUGUACUCUGGUUUUCUGCCAAUUAAACUUAGAUCAGGCUCUCUGAUUGAGCUUAUUUGCAUACUAUCAAAUGGAAACAGGAAACUGCCUCUGUAAUAAUCAGGGUGUUGGACAGAGCUCAGGCUAUAUACACAGGUUUUACCAGGCCAAGUCCGUUUUCUCUGCCAUGUUGUAGCAGGGUUUUAAGGGCCACAGUUUGGACCUGUUGUAGGACCAGAGCCCCAUGUUAGCAGAAAUACAAUGGUACUCCAUUCUGAAAAGUAGCUAUAAUCAAGAUGGUAUAGAAUCUUAGGAAAGCAAUAGCAGUGCUCAUGUAUGCCCAAAAUAUUAAUGAAGAAGCCAGAAAAUGGUUGGCCAUUGGGAAGAUUCAUAACCUUUUAAAAAAACAUAUUUCUGUGAUUAUAAACUUAAGCUGUUGGGCCAUACUUAUAGUUUACUUUAUUUGGUAAAAACUAUACAAUAGUUCAGUUCCUCUAGGAAAGAGGAUUGUUGCUGAAUGGUAAGUGGGGUAAAAAUACUGGCCUAUAUGCAUGCACUGGCCAUGCAUUUAAUCACAAGGAUUAUCACAGAAAAAUUAAGACUUACUUGAAUAAAAGCUAAGUGAGUAUUAUAUAGCCUAUAUAAAUACCUCUUCAUUAAAAUAUUGUUUCCCAAGUUUAUACAUGAAUUUAUAGCCCAAUAGAUGAGACAUUCUUGAGACCGAUUAUUUAAAACAUAAAUUGUGUUUGGCAGACUUACAAAGGAGCUCCUAAACCAAAGCAUAUGUGAAAGGUGUUGGAGAUUUCUAAAUUUCAGUUCGGCUCAGAAACAUUUUCUGUGCCAGCCACUGAGCUGGAAACUGAGCUAUCAUCACCAAAUAAGGCCUUGUGCAUUGUCUCAGAGAGGAGCUUACCAUCCAGUGAACCCAAGAGACACCCAAACAGAGGCUGUCAACAUUCGGUGGCAAUGGUUUCAGUUUCAAAAGUUGUGCCCCUGAACAAUUGUUAACAUAGAAAACACACACUCCAAAAAUCAUGUCAGCUGUAUAUUUGAUAUAAAUUUCCCUUUUGGUUGUUUUCAACCAAAUGGAAUUCAGUUCACAUGUUCCUAUAGCCAUGAUCAAGAGGGCUGGGUGAUACCCUGACUUAGAAUGGCUCUUUGCAUUUGUGAGCUUACUGGAUCCACCUGAAGCUUGCUGAAAUCUUUAGGAUGAACUUGGAAAUGAUUGAUCAGGUAUCCCUCCUGUGGAUGUGUUGGGUACUUUUCCAAAGCAACCACAAACUCUAAGCCAGGCAUGCCAAAACUUAGCAAUAUACUUGCUAUAAACAACAAUGGAAAUGCUUUCUAGACCCACAAACAUUAAGGGAAAAAAAAUUAUCGAAAUAUGUGUGUCUGGGCGUGUAACUAGGAUAAACCAUUAUAAUGACUAAUUUAUAUAUUUAAAGUAAAUACAAUUUUCAAAUACAGAAAAAAAAUGGGGAAUUAUCUUGAGUUUUUACCACUGUUUACUUCUCUUGGAUUUGUGGUCUCAGAACUUGAAGUAUGACGAAUGUCUGUUUUAGGACAUUUAGGAAGGAGUUUCAGACAAAAAUUUCAAAUGAUGAAAGGUAAAAACAAGAGAGAAAAAUAAGUUUCAAAAACCAAAAGCUCUUAUAAAGUCCAAGUGUUGCAGUGAAGGGAACAAAUAAUGUAACUCUAAGGAAGGAGUCCAAACUUCAUCCUUUUUAGAUACUACUUGGCUCUAACAUGUCUAGGAUUCAGUUAUAUUCCAAUUUAAGUUGACGUGGAAAGAUUUGUUUCCUCCCUAAACUAAGACUCCUAAAAUAAAUGGAAAAGGAAAUUGUAGAGUUACCUCUACUUCAAGGCUGGACCAACCCUGUCUAGGUUAAAAUGCAUUUUAUCUAGGGCGCCUGGGUGGCUCAGUUGGUUAGGCGACUGCCUUCGGCUCAGGUCAUGAUCCCGGAGUCCCUGGAUCGAGUCCCGCAUCGGGCUCCCUGCUCGGCAGGGAGUCUGCUUCUCCCUCUGACCCUCCCCCCUCUCAUGUGCUCUCUCUCUCUCAUUCUCUCUAUCUCAAAUAAAUAAAUAAAAUCUUUAAAAAAAAAAAAAGCAUUUUAUCUAAUUAAACGUCCCGGGGCUGUGUGGGAGUAUAGAAAAAGAAUGGUCUCUGCUCACACCUAGCAGCUUCAUGAACUUAGAUGGCUCAACCAGAUACAACUUAAAUCUUCUUGUUUCUAUUGAUCUUAGGCAUUUUUAGAAUUUCCUAUUCAUUUUGUGCACCCUCAUGUGAGCAUGUGUGAUUUGUAAACACUGAUAUUUGAUGCCAUCAUCUACUUUAUUCAGUGGUUUCCUCAUCUAUAAAAAUAGGGACAGAAAUUCCUCCUCAAAAGUUCUGUGGUUUCGGGGUGCCUGGGUGGCUCAGUUGGUUAAGCGACUGCCUUCGGCUCAGGUCAUGAUCCUGGAGUCCCGGGAUCGAGUCCCGCAUCGGGCUCCCUGCUCGGCAGGGAGUCUGCUUCUCCCUCUGACCCUCCUCCCUCUCAUGCUCUCUGUCUCUCAUUCUCUCUCUCUCAAAUAAAUAAAUAAAAUCUUUAAAAAAAAAAUAAAAAAGUUCUGUGGUUUGAUGAAUUUACAACAUAAAAUUCAUCUCAAACUAUCUUAAGUACUCUAGUUUGCUACAUUAUUCACAGAGGUUUUCCAGUUUGGAAUAUAUCUGGACAUCUACAUAACCAAACAUCUGGGGUCUAGUGUCAGGCCAUCAAUUAAACCAGAUGGAAGCCCUACAGGCAAACGUCUUUGUUCUGUCAUGAUAUAGAUCAGUAGGACUCAAACCUGCUUGAGAUUCAGUAUUGUCAGGAAGAUUUAUCUGAAGUAUGCAUUAUUGUGCUCCACCCAAAGGAAUUGUGAUCCAGUGGUUUACAGUGGGGUCCUGGCUACAUAUUCUUGUAAGACUCUCCUGAAAGCCUUCCUCAUAUACAGAUGGAUUUAGUAGUCUACACCAUCUAGGGUAGCAAAUGGCUAAUGGUAUUUCCAAGAUGUCAGUACUUUAAGUGUUGUCGAGUUCUUUAGACAUAUUAAAAAUAAGGUGAAAGUAAAACAAUAUCAGGGUCCAAUAUCCAAACAUUAUGGAAGUUUCAGGGGAGGAGAAUAGCGUAUGUCUUAUCAGGCUGUCAGAUUCAGUUUCCUAUUUUGUGAACGUAGAAUAGCCUUGGUCAUAUUUAGAAACAUCACAUUUAAUAACAAGAUAUUAAUAAACUUGUCCUGCAACUAAGACACUAGUAAAUGCUUAACUGUUAAAAAUGUUUGAGCUGUGCGGUGCCUGGGUGAGUCAUUUGGUUAAGUGUCAGACCCUUGAUUUUGGCUCAGGUCAUGAUCUCAGGGUCAUGAGAUUGAGCCAAAUGUUUGAGCUGGUAAAAAUUCUUAGUUUGCUUAGUUAGCAAAGAGCUUUUAGUUCCUUUAUGUAUUCUUCAUGCUGACUGUAAGCUAUAACUGCUCUGAUCAAAAUAUUUCCCUGAAUGUUACUGUCAGGUGGUUGGGGGUCUAGAGAAAGGGAAGAGCUAACCAUACUCUGGAGAAAAUUUUUGAUAAUUUUAAAUGUUCAUAAUGAUGUGAUUUUAAUUUUUUUUAUGAUGUAUUCUUGGAUGGAGAGAAAAAAACCUUUGUAUCAGGUUAUGGCUACUAAUUUUUUUAAAAAAUUUUAAUACACCUUAAGUCAAAAAUUAAUACACCUUGAGCAAAUAUUAUAUCUAGUAAUAAGCAAUUCUGAGAUGUCCCAUCUGAUUGGGGAAUGAGUCAUGUAUUUUAAACAGUUUUUCCUCACUUUUUUUGGUCUUUACUAGCUUUUUCCUUUCCUUCUUUAACUGCUGAAUAUUUGUGAAAUUAUUUUAUUGUGUAAUUUGUUGGGUUUGAGAAUAUAUGGCAUGGGAGUAUGUUCUGAGAGUUCAAAUUCCCUUCAGUCAAGGACCCCAUGUCACUGCUACCAAAGCCAGCGUCAUUUGAAGCAUUGAUGUCCUCUAAUUGGAAGGCAGGAAUUUGACUCUAAUUUGAAGAAAAUAUGUACAUAUAUAAGAAGACAAAAAGAAAUGAAAAUGGAUUAAAUUCAAGAAUUAAUUUAAUGGAAGGCGUAGGUGGAGGUGAAGAGAGGUGUUUUUCAUUAACAUAUAUUGAUGAUGAAAUUUGUAAGGUUAGGGCCUCAGUGAUUGCUCCUCCUGAUCCCAUUAUCCAGUGGCAUGUGGUUGUUAGAAUGAAAUAAGAAGGAGGAAGAGGGAGGAAAGGGAGGAUGGGGAUAAUGUUGAUUUUUGCUUCAGGCUCAAUCCCAAGGCUGUAAUUUUCAUUCCAAAGCACAGGGGAGGCAAAUGGAGUGACCAUUUAGGUUGGUAACGCCCUUGAAUUUCUGCCAUACUUGGAGGGGGGGGGGGUUCCUCUUGGUUUGCACCAUGGGCCAUAGGCCCAAAUAAAGGAUCAGGUCCGUUUUCUUUUCAGUUCUGACUCCUUCAGCAGUAGAGACAUGUAAGUGAACGAGUUUUACCCAGUAACAAGAGUCAGUAAGAUAAUAAGAUAGCGUAUGUAACAUAUUUUUCUGGAAAAGAAUUUAUGUGCACAAUGCUUCUUUGUUUAUUAAUCCUUAAACUCUAAGCCUAAAGUACACAGUUUUUAUCGGCAUAAAUUCUUCUGACCUACUUUCCCAAACAGGAUUCUGUGUCCUUUGCCAGUCUCUUGUGGGGGUGUCACCGUUGCUUUGAAUGCUGUGCCGCAGGGCAGUGCCAACCUCUCCCUGCUUUUGCUAAUCCUUGUUCCUUCCAGGUUAUCAUAAUGUUAGCUCACCAUGAAUUCAUGUUCAUGGGUAUUUUUUGUGUUUGAGUGUUGAUGUUUUACUGUGCAUCACAAGCAGACACACUUGGUCCGUUCCACAUAGGAGACAACACAGAAGAGCUUAAUGUGCAGUCUCAAGGGGUCACUUUUGAAAUUCAGAUUAUCUAUCAAAUCCAUUGUUAUCUGGCUCCUUUAUGAAAUUGGAAGAACAGUGAAUUUUUACCUUAUAUUCAUAGAGAGCCCUUCAAGAAAUAAUAACAGUUUUAAAACUUUAAAAAAAUUGGUAACAGGAUUAAAAUGGAACAUUUUGGGUGUCAUUAAAAAAAAAUUGGUAACAGUAAUUAAGAAUUCUUUUAUUAAUUUAUGAAAAACUAUUUAAACCAUAUUAUCUGAAUAUAUUUAAUCCAGAUAUCUGCUCACACACAACCUCUUUUUAAGAAGCAAGUAAUAAAUUCAUACACACUUAUGUUUUAUAUAAACACAUGAUGAUGGGAUUGCUUAAAUACAUGCCAAGUCUAGCUAAAACAACCUGAGUGAGGGAAGUUUAUUUUUUUAAAGAACUUCAUGGUGAAUUGAAAUCUAAACACCAGCAAAACAAGUAAUCUCCCCAGCUCAAACUGGUGUUAACAACCGAAUAUCAAUGAAGGUAAAAUGUUAACAGGAUAAUCUCCUUUUAUUGCCCUUAGUUACCUUGAGUUUACGUCUGUGGAUUCUAGUGCAGUUGUCCAGGCUUGUGACUAAGGUCAAGGACUCUGUGAGACUGCUCAGGGGGUCAGUCCUGAUUCUGUCACUUCAUAGAUGCUGUGAAUGUGGGCACGUGUUUUUGUUGUUGUUGUUUUUGGAUUUUUUUAAAAGAUUAUUUAUUUGAGAGAGUGAGCAGGAACAGGAGGGGCAGAGGGGAAGGGAGAGAGAAUUGCAAGCAGACUCCUCACUGAGCAUGGAGCCCAAUGCAGGGUUUAAUCUCACCACCCCAAGAUCAUGACCUGAGCCAAAACCAAGAGUUGAUCACCUAACCAACUGAGCCACCCAGGUGUACCGUGGGCAUGUGUUUGAAACAUCUGUACCACAGGUUCCUCACCCGUAUAAGGAUAAAGAUAGUUCUCAUACCUAGGGUAGCCAUCCCUCUUAGUUUGCCAAGGACAGCCCCCAUUUAUACCGGUUGUCCUGAAGUAAUUAUUACUAGUUUCCCCUUUCACAUUCAAAAAACAUUCCAUUUUAGGGUCUCCAGGUCAUGAUUCCGGGGUCCAGAGAUCCAGCCCCAUGUCAGGCUCCGUGUUCAGUGGGGAGCUUGUUUCUCCCUCUCCCUCCAUCCCUCCCCACCCCCGCUGGUGCUGUCUCUCUCCCUUUCUCUCUCUCUUUCUCUCUCAAAUAAGUAAGUAAAAUCUUUAAAAAAAGUUCCAUUUUAAAUGAUAAAUUGUAGAGUGUCUUUUCUUAUACAGCUACUGUGAAGAUUAAAUGAGCUGAUCCAGAAUUAUGUGAAGCACUUAGAGAAAUGUUUCUUAUUAAUACAAGCUUAUUAUAUUUCUUAUCAAUUUUAAUCCCAAUAUAAAGAAACAGAAUUGACAGGGGAAAUCCAAAAGAGCUGCACAUGCCCUUAUAUAGUAACAGAAGAGAAAAUGGAGGAACAUGGCACCCUCAACACUCUGAAAAUACCUAUUUUCAAAAGAUCUGGUUGUGUCUUUUCUUGACCUAAAUAUCAAAACAAUUUGUUCUAUCAGUGGGUUCACAUUUUAAUAAUUUUAAAUCACUAGAAUAAUGAAAUACAAAAUCAGGAAAUAAUGUUAUUGGUAGAAAACAUAUAUGGAAGUUAGUCUCCGUCUUUCAAGCAGCUAUUAUUUCAGGCAAAUAGUAGGUUAUAUAUUAGCCAUAAUGUAACUGGAUUUAAUUGUUGGGUAAAUAUCCUCUCCAUAAAGGUGUAAAAGAGUACAAAUGGCCACCCAUGAAUACAAUGGAUGCAGACCUGAUAUUCAGCUGAUAAGUAUCAAUAUGCCUGUACUGCUAUUAAAAUAUUGAAAAACCCCAGGUGACUCUUUUCUACCUUGGUCACCUCAGCCCUACCCCAAAUCUUGGUCUCACCCAGGAUCCAACAACUAAGAGGUUCCUUUCUGGCCCAGCAGUGGGUCCAGCUCUAGGCUGUGAUCUUUCUAGUGGGAGAUACCUGUGGUGAUCCCUUAAAACUCUCCAAGUGGAUGGCAGGGAAUAUUGUUCCAAAGCAUGAUCAAGUAGAGUACAUCUCCUCUCUCCAUGUAGACUCAUUAGCUGCCUUCUUGUGCAAGUUCACGUGGAGUCUGCUCUAAAGUUCACUUCAAACAAAGAAAAAAGAUGGGAAUCCUUGGAAAGGCUUUCUGUCAUCUUCUUUGACAGCAUUUUUUGGUGGAACAGAUGAUUUUCCAAAAUUAUAAGAAUAACCUCAGUAACCUCACUUAAAACACAUAAUCUUCUUUUCUGGAUCAUCUUGAUACCUAAUUUGUAAUCGUACUCUAUCAGUUAGAGAAAAACCAUUUUUGAAAAUCACAUAAUAACCUGAGUUUUCAUUGUGGAGAGUGAGACAGUGAAAUUAUUUCCCUUUGAAAGUGAUGACAGAAAAGAAUAUCUUUUUCUUUUGAAGAGCUUCGUGACUAACAAGUGACACCAGCUACUGUUCCAAGGGGAUACACAUGCAUUUCAAACCAGUGACAUUGAGAAGAUCAGGGAUUAGGCUGCACGUGGAACAAUACUACAACAAUGAUGCAGGAGUACACAUAGGAUUGUUUCUGGACUCUCCACAGGAUUGCUCUCAGGGGCCUGACUAGGGAAUGGAAUGAACCGGUUCUUCUGCUUCCAAGAAACUGUGCCUGAGUCUUGGUGUAGUGCCAGAGUGAUGGCGAAACGCUUGGCCCCCAGCAGCAUGCUGUCAGUGUGUUUGCGUCAGCAGCCUGAGUAACUGCAGAAGAGGAAUAAGCACAGGCAUUUAGAGAUGGCAGAGGGUUGCUAAAGUGUGGGGGGAAAAAAACCCCAACGAACAAAAGUCGCUUGUGAUUUUCGCCUUUCAAUCAUGUUUUUAUCAUGCUGAAAUGAAGAUUGUCACUGUGCGAUUUUUGAUGUGUAAGGACAGCUAAAAUUGAUAAUUCUCUUGCAUAAUAAUGUACCCCAUUUUAGGCACAUUUUUAUUUGUUUUUACUCGUACUGGGUUAUAUUCGAUAUUUUUUUUCUUUAUUGGCAUCCUCUGUGGCCAUUUUGGGCUGUGACUCCCUGUUCUUUACAUGUUUUGGUACCAUUAUCCAUAAACAUGCAGUUCUCCCUCCCUGCUAGCUUCGUGAGUACUAUCAAUGACAUUACGUAUGAUAGGCAGAUAGUGGCUCCAUGAAAGACAGCCACAUCCUAAUCCCCGGAACCUGUGAAUGUUACUUAAUAUGGCUAAAUCGACUUCACUGGUAUGGAUCAAUUUAAACUCUUAAGAUCUGGAGAUUAUCCUGGAUUUUCCAGGUGUGCUUUAAGUUCAACCACAAAUUUGCAUAUAAGACAGUGACAGAGAAAUUUGAAACAGAAGAGGAAGAGAAGGCAAUGUGAUCACAGAGGGAGAGACUGAAGGGAGGAGGUUUCAAAGCCAAGGAAUGUCAGUAGCCCCAGAACCUGAAAGAGACAAAGAACAAUUCUCUUCCAGAGCAUCCAGAGGGAGUGUGUCCUGCCAACAGCUCCCUGUCAGCCUGGUGAUACUGAUGGUGGAUUUCUGGCCUCCAGAACUGAGAGGAUACAGUUCUGUUGUCCUAAACCAUAAAGCCCAUAGUAAUUUGCUAUAGCGACUCAAAAACUAACACAGCCUGAUUCAGAAACUAUGCAUGCAUAGAUUUAAAUGCGUCUUCUUUUUUACAAUGCAAUUUUCCACAAAUCAAACAUAAGUACCGAAAAAGUGCAAAAAUCUUCUGUAUAAAUGAGUUAUCAUAUGAGUUAGCACCAAGCAACCAUACUUCACUGAGAUUGAAAAAUCUCUGUGUCCUCUUUUGUGCCUCUCCAUUCUCCCCAAAUGUGACCACUGUCCCAACUGCUAACACCAUAGCGCCAUUUUGCCUGAUUAAUUUAAACUUUUUAUAAAUGGGAUUGUGUAUUUUAUUUUUGUCUAACGUGUUUUGCUUAAUAUUUUGUUUGAGAGAUUCAUUGACACUGUUAUGAGUAUAAGUAGUUAGGUUUUUUUAUUGCUGAGUACUACCCCUUUUGGGAAAAUAGAGUGUUUAUGCAUUUUCCUGUUCGUAGACAAUUAUGUCUUUUCCAGUUUGGGGCUAUCUUGAAUAAAGCUGCUGUGAACAUUCGUAUACGUACAUGUCUUUUGGCACAUACCUAAGAAUUGAAUUGCUGGGUCAUAUAGUAUGCAUAUGUUCAGAUGGAGCAGAUAGAGCCAAAUUAUUUUCCAAAGUAGUUAUUACGAAGUUACAUUCCUUUCAGAAGUAGAUGGAAAUUCCAUUUGUUCUAUAUCCUUGCCAAAUCUUGGAAAUUACUGUCUUUAAAACUUUUUUUUUAUUAAAACAAAAGAUUUAGCUAAUGACAAACAGUGGUAUGUCAUUAUAUUUUAUAGAAUUUCUAUUCUCUGCAUGACUAAUGAUUUUGGAUACUUUUUCAAAUGUUUGUUAUUCACUUGGAUAUCUUCUAGGGCAAUUAUUUCAAGACAUUGCGCAUUUUGUUUUAGGUUAUAUUUUUCUUACUGAUUUUCAGGAGUUCUUUAUAUAGUCCAGAUAUCAGCCUUAUAUAGGUUAUAAGAGUUUACAAAUAUUCUUCCAUAGCAGACUUGUUGUUGCAUAAAUGGAGAUUCCAACUUUAAUGUAUUCCAAUUCAUUAUUCUUUUCUUUUGGUUUAUACUUGUUUGCCCUAUUUAACAAAUCUACCUAUUCCAAGGCCAUAAAGAUAGUCUCUCAUAUUAUCCUGUAAGGGAAUUGUUGUCUAACUUUUCAAUCUAUAAUUGACCAGCCUUUCAGAAACAGUAUACAAAUUUAUAUUUGUACCAAUUGAAGUUGAGAGUAUCUAUUACUCUGUACCCUCAUCUAUAGGGUUUAUUUUCUUUCUCUUUGCAAAACUAUUAUGAAAAGGCACAUUAUUAUCCACUAUAUUCUGAAAAUACAUUUAAGAAAAUGUAUUUUCAUGCGUAUAAUUUUUUAUUAUACAUGGGAGUAGAGACCUUGAUAAAAGUAACAUAUAGUCUAUAAAUUUAAAAAAUAUAUUAAGGCUUUAAAAUCAGAGAAAAGCAUUUUUUCAACAAUAGUAAUUUUUCUUUGUAUGUGUCUAUUCAGCAAAAGCAUCAGAAGUUCUUUAAUUGCCACCUUUAGUAAAACUUAGGCUUGCUAUUUCUCUGGUGUGAAAUUUUAGGUGGAAAAGCUGUUUAUAAAUGAUAUAAAAUAAAGGCUAAAUCAACAUUCUUGUAUUAUUUUUCAUGGAGAAUAGUAACUAUAGGAGAUUAAGCAAUUAUCUCCUCAUGGUGGAAUUAGAUGGACAUUCUUAAGGCUAAAUUUGGAAACUUAUCUGCAAGAUGAUGUUUUGGAUAACAUUCAAGUGCUGGGUUAAAGAGGCAGUAAAACUUUUUAGAUUAAGAAACGUGUGUUGCUAUAAAACAUAGUAAGUGUAGGGUGCUGAAGUGGGCUUAUGAGUGAUCUUAUCAUCUCUUCUGCAAGAGAUUGUCUUCAGUUUCAAGAGGGAUUCCAGAGUCAGAAAAAGAAUUCCUUGAUCUAGAUUCUACAACAAAAUCAUCAUGAAUAGAUCCAUCAUAGAUUAAAAAAUAAAAGGAAAACAUGCGAUGAAAAUGACUGCAUUCUACAAACUACAUAGGCUGCAGAAAUGAUAUGUAAGAAAGAAAUGAUAAAUUAAAAUAAGAUAAAGAAAAGAUUGAUAAGAAAGAAGCUUGAUUUGAAAAAAAAAUUGGGGAUUUGGAGUAUUUUGCCUGUUUUCUAAAUAUACUUACCAGAGGAAUAGAGAGAGUAGAAAUCCUUUGAUGAAUGAAACAUCAAAAACUAAAAAGGUUGGGACUAAGAAGUUGUUUUGGACUUAUCUAAUGGAGGCUAUCUUUUUUUUUUUUUUUUAAUAAGAGAAGAAACAUUUGACAGUGACCCAUGACCUGACCUUGAAUGCUAGUCUAUGUCCAGGCUAUGGAGACAUGAAGGUAGUAAAGUUAUCACGUAAUAUAUAAUAAUUUUUAAAUUGCUUGACUUUAUGCACAAGUGUGUACUAGACAGGGAAAGGGAUCUCUUUAUAGAUGGAGGAUUUUAAUCAAGAGAAUGUAUAACUUCCUAAAAAAAAAAGAGAGAGAGAAAAUAUGACUUCCUAAGGGCAAGAAUUAGAGCUUCAAGUUAAGUUAUGAGACUAAACAGGGGGUAUAGUUCUAGUCAAAAUCCAAAAUAUUACUUGAAAUGGUUUUUUGGGAUGCCUGGGUGGCUUAGCCAGCUAAGCGUCUGCCUUCAGCUCAGGUCAUGAUCCCUGGGUUCUGGGAUUGAGCCCCUCCAGGGAGUCUGCUUCUCCCUCUGCCCACUGCUCCCUCUGCUUGUGUUCCCUCUCUCUCUUACUCUCUCUCUCAUUAAAAAAAAAAAAAAAAAAGGAAGAAAUGUUUUUUUAUUUUCCCAAAAUUUAGUUAUGUUUUUAUUCUCAUUAUUAAAUCCGAGGAAACUAGAAAUAUACAAAUUGAAAUUUAGUUAAGUGCACAUGUUGGAGCAGUGUUCAGAAAUUUUGUAACUGCUUCUUAGACACUGGGAUUAGUUGCAUGUGUAGUGGUGGAAAUAAUAGCGGGAAAGAAGAAAAAGCAUAUUAUAGAUAAAAUUAGAAAGAACUCAGUUUAUGUUGGGGUAGAGGUUAAGGGUAGUUUUAGAAAGUCUAAAAGUUGGAAAAGACCAAUGCUAGAAAGGACCUUAUUAUUUGGUUCAACUCUUCUAUGCAAAACUGAGGCUGAGUUAGAUGGUAUGCGUAAGAGUAAAAAGCUGGUUAUAAGAACAUGAUGAUGGUUUGUCUGCUACUGAUUCUCAUUCUAGUAGCAGCCUUCCACAAUGCCACUUGGCUGUUAGUAGCAAGAGUAGGUCUGAGGCCUGCUGCCUCAGUGAGCCCUGUGUAUAUUGCUCAGUACUGGGAGCCAUGUUGAUGAAUUGCAUUGACUCAUUCAUUGUUUGUCCUAAUUGUUGGACAGGCAAAAUGAGAAUGCCAAGUGAAUUUGCUCUUACUACUUUUAGAAAAGGAAAAGACAAAACAAAACAAACUUGUUCGUACCAGCGCUAUUCAAGUGUGGUCCUCCAUAACUGGCAGAGAAUGCCAGCAGUUGUUACCAGGCCAGACCGUGGUAAAUACAGGAAAUCAUAGUACAGCCAUUUGACAGAAUAAUGUCUACUGGAUCUAAUGUGAAGACAUCUGGGCUUUUAUUUUGUAUGGCAGAGUUGUUGUUAAUUUUCAUUUGCCUAGAAAUUCACUUUUAUUACAUAUUAAAGAAAUUUUUUUUAAAGAAACAAACAAAAACACUUGUCCUCAUUUGAAAAGGAUUAGUCUAAAGCACUUUCUCCUCAAAUUCCCUCACUGGUAAAUGACAAAUACUAAUUUAAGUCGGGCAACACCACCUGCUGGGACAAAUAAUCCUUUCUCUUCUCUUCUCCCUCCCCUCUCCCAAAUUGGGUUGAGAAUUUAAGGACUUUUACAGAUCAUUUCAAAGAAUUUUCAUUGAAUUGGUACAGUUUUCCCACCUCUUUAAGGCAUUCUGGAAGUUUCUAAAAGAAAUAAUAAAAAUUUUAAAGAAUGCCUAGAUUUGUGGGACAAAUGAGUCUGGUUAGGUCUAAUAUGUGUAAGAAUGGAUGUGUACUCAAAGUGUUACAAUGGGAAGAACUUCAGAGUCAAGCUUCCCUGGAUUCUGGAUUCCAGUCCUGACUCUACCACUCCAUAGCUACAGUGGAUCAGCCCAUAUUUAACUCCUCUAACAGUAGUUUCUUUAUAAGGCAUGGAGUACAAUAUAUAAAUCUCAUGGUGCAGGGAUUAAAUAUAGGUAAUUAAAACACAUCUCAGUGCCAGUAAAAUCAUAUGUUACCAAUAAAGGUAAGUCAUUAUUCUCAUUUCUCACAGGAGAAAGUGAGAAUUGGGAAAGACUUUAUAGAAAUUAUAUGAUUAGUUAAGCCUUAAAAACAUGGAAAAGUUAGCCAGGCAGAUAAGACAAAGAAGACUAAUAUGAACAUAGCUGAGAAGCAUGAGGUAGUAAAAUGUUUUUGUCAGACAUUACAGGUAGCUCAACUGCAGAAACAAAAAGAUCAAGGAGGAAAUACCAGGUGUUAGAGCUGAGGAAGUAAGAAAGGUUAAAUCAUGAGAAGCCUUGCUCAGCAAACUUGUAGACAUGGAAUUUUCCCUUUUUAUGGGACAUUUAUAGCCUGGGUGCAUGGACCCUCCUCACUGAAAAUGGAGGGAUAUUUGAAUGAAUUCCAAGGUAUCAAUGACAUCCUGAAGUUGUGUGCAACAUUUUAUGACUAUAAUCACAUAUGAAAUUUUUGAGAAAAAGAAAGGCCCUAAGAUUUGCUAGAUUCUUAAAGUGCCCCACAGCUUCUAACAAGCUCAGAACAAUCAGAUUAGGAAAUAGGAAGUCUCUGAAUAGACUUAAAGUGGGACAGAAGUGCUGUGUGUGUAAAAGACGUGGUCACAUUUAGCUUUUGGAUGAUAGUUAACUCAGGUAGAAACAUGAAGCUGAUGUGAGAAUUCCACUUGAUUUGUAGGUUAGGGUCACAGUCUUUGUAUCCCUAGCACCCAGAACACAGAAUCCCUCAUA